rnacentral:lncRNA from 1 species
CAUGUUUCAUCAGCAUGAUUAAAAUCAAAGAAGAAAGCGAAGACGUAAUGUCUCUGACAUAAUAAAAUUACAAAAAUUUCAAGGAAAAAAAAAGGUUAAAACAUGUAAUCUUCAGAAGCAUAUAAUAAAAGAACACUUCCACAAAUUACUACAAUUUCAUGCAGUAGAGAUUGAAGAGUUGAAUUCCACUAAUUUUAAUAAUGAAAACAACAACAGAGGAUUAACUGAUGCUUUGACUUAUUAGCAGGUUGCUUUGACUUAUUAGUUCUGCAGCUAAGUUAAAUAAAAUAAGCUAUUUUCAAAAGCAAAAUGGAAUACAUAGAUAAAAACAUCAUCUUAAACAAAUCACAAUCUAGAAUUAGAGCAUUUUCGACAUACCUAAGGAACACGAAUACGUGAAAACGGGUGAUUUAUUUGUUAAGGAGUGUUGAUUUGGUCGUCUCUGCAAAUUCUUUAGGGACUCGGUUCCAAUUCCUCUUCAUCAAAACUGUAAUAUAAUUCCCCUUCAUCAGAACUCGAAUCGAUGCCUGCUGUACCGUACAUCCGCCUUGACCAAGUUUGGUAACUUAUUGGGGUCCGCUUGUAAUACAGCGUCUGUAUCUCAUACAGCCAAAUUUAAUAAUUUAUUAAGAAAAAGGGCAACCAUUAGAUAGAAGUAGAUACAUCCAACGGUUAAAAUGUUUGAUUACUCAUUUUGGCGACCGGAUAUGCCAGUUAUUAUUUCAUCAAUUAACUUACCUAAAAAAUCACAGCCGUUGGAUUGAGAUGCCUCUCUUUCCCUCAAAAUAACAGCCUUCGUAUUCUCUCUGCUAUUGUUUUCUCCUACAUCCAGAAUUUUGGAUGAAUGAACUUGGUAUUCAACAAUAUUCACCACCCAUCACAGCAAAGAGCAAAGAUGUAGUCAAAGGAGUGCCAUUUAUUCAGGCUAACUCGAUCUGUCACUCUCGCUUCAAUUCGUCACUCAUUUUCUCGCGCUCAGCUUCAAUCUAUCACUCUCAGCUUCAGUUCGUCACUCACAGCUUCAAUUUUUCACUGUCGUGAAUCAUCUCUCUUGCUGUAUCUCUCUCUUAUGUCUUCCAAUAAUUUCGGUGAGCUCUCUCUCUAAUUUAAUAUAUGAUUAAAAAUCUUAUCAUCUUAUCAUGUCAUUUAAAUAUGCUUGAAGUUUCAAUUUAGUUUAUGAAUAUUACUUGAAAUUUCAGUUUCAAUAAUUUGAUUUUGCAAUUGAGAAAUUAUUACUUGAAAUAUUGAGAUGAUUUCUAGGGAUUGAUAAUUGAAUGAUAAUUGCUAAGGCUUGUCAUUUUUUGUUUUUGAACAGAUAGAGUUACAAUUAAGUCAUACUGCAAUAUUUUAUCUUGAGAUUCUAUUAUUCACAAAAAGAAAAAAAUCAUAAAUUGAAAAAAAAAAAAAAGAGGUUACGAGCAUCAAGCAACUGCAAGUAAUGGGGUUUGUUUUGAUGAGCUGCGAAUUGGGGCCUGUCAUUUUCUUGAAGUAUCUUCAAUAUAAGUGGAAGGAGAUUUCUUCUCUCCAAAAAAUUAUUGUAUAUUUCCUUUUAAAUUCUAGAUUCGCAUGUAGCUGAUUUUUUAUGUUUGAAGGAUUUUAUUAAAGAAUGUGCUGCUGCUAGUGGCAUGAAUUAAUGUAGUCUCGCUAGUAUUCGUGAUUUGGGGUAAGGAUCGAAUUGAACAAUUAUAUUUCUAUUAUUCUUAUAUUCGAAUCCAGUGAUAUUGUGGUGGUUUUAUGAUAAUAUUCAAUUGUUUUGUGCCUCAAAUCAGCCAAUGAGUUGGGUAUGUGCUGGGUAUAUGCCGUAUGGGCUUGUUGUUGAAUUUGCUUGACCUUGGAUGUGAUUCUUGCCGUGUUUAUAAGAAAUAGACACAGGUCUUUGUGUGGUAAUAGAAUUGUCUAAGGUGCCUUACAAUAAAUUUAAGAGUCUUAAGUAACUAUGCUUUGUAACCUUAAACCUUUAUUUGUACGACUUGGUGUUCUUGGUUGUGAAAGAAUGUUAAAUGUUGACCUAUUUUCAUCGGUGAAGAUAAAUGAAGUUAGGGAAGGUUUGUAAUCACUAUAACCCUGACAAUUUUUUUGGUGGGCCGUGAUAAUUUUAUUCAUGGCAUGUACUUUGUUUUUAUCAGAAGGCCCUGUUUGCUUGUAGUCUCAAAUCUAGGGUAAUAUUUUAAAUAAGUUCUGCAAUAUAUGUUUUGCUAUUUUUCUUUUUUGUUUUUAUUUUAAUUAGUUUUAGUAUUACUUGGAGGGGAAUUCUGAUCUGCUGAAGUUUAUCAAGCUGGUGCAGUGGUGCAGCAAGCAGACCUUUAUCUUAAUCUUAUGAUUGUGCUAAGUGGAAUUUUGUGUAAGUUACAACAAUAUAAUUUUUUAAAGAGCUGACAAGACGCUCUCUCUUUUUUUUGGAAUGUUGAGCAAAACUUUUCUUUCUUAUUAGGUGUUUAUAAUAAUUCAUAGCAUGGGUUUUGUCAUAUUGGUUUCAAUGCAUUGAUUUGAUCUUGGUUACAACCCAUCAGCCCUUACUCCUCAUUCCCAGCAGCUUUUAAUGCCUUUUUUUUAAGCAUUGUACUUUGUUUCAUGAUGAAAUUUGUUUAUAUGACGCAAAGUUGAGGACACGGUAAUAGUCAUUAUUUUAAUUUAUGCAACAAAGAUCAUUAUCCAUUAAAUUUUAUGUUGUUGAAAUAUUUAGAUUUUGUAAAUUUUGUUGUAAGAAAUGAGGGCUCUUGAUCCCAUCCCUUUAUUAUAUACAAUUUUUUUUCACUCUGUCAUUCAUUUAUUGUGUGUUAGAGGUAUUAGUCAUGUGCAAAAGUAAAGAUCUUUAUUUUGUUAUUUUUGUCAUCUUGUGCUUCAUUGGUAUAAAUGAGGAAAAAAAAGAAUAAAAUAAAAUAAAAUUAUAGUUUGUGCAUGAAUUCCACCAUAUAUGAAAUGUUUAAUAGAUUAAAAAGUAAGGAGUACACAGUGACUUUGAAUAGCAGGUGGGGGAACUCAUUUUGUUUUAAAAAAAAUUAAUACAUAUUGAUAGAAUAAUUAUCCUUCACUUAAUUAUUUAAAAAUUUUAUUUUGGAAGAAUACAAAUGGACAGUCACCAAUGAAAGCGUAAACGACUACCAGGGGGCUUACAGAAAAAAUUGCUCCUAUUCUAAAAGUAGAUGGUCAGGACAAAGUUCCAACAACUUCAACUUAUGGAUUUGUCUCUUACUUGUAAGGUAAUCUCUUCUUGUAGGGUGUUUAAUUGAAUUAAAAACAGAAUAUUAUUUGCAUUAUAGAGUACAGGCAUAAAUUCAUUAUCUAUGUCAGUUCAUUCAUGAUUUUACUCCAAAUGGAGUAAUAGAUCACCAUUAAUUUAUUGAUACAUCGUCCAUGUUUGUUUUCGUCUUCAAUUUUUAUAUUACAAUAUCUAAUCUAUUUAGUAUUCGUAAAAAAACAUACGAGAAAAAGUUGGAAAAACACUUUAGGGGUGAUUGUGUACACUUUCGUAUGGCACAAAUAGCGUUAGGCUUUGUUUUUUAAGUGGACGACGUGUCCAUUUUUUGUGUUACAUCUUACUCAUUAAUAUAUUUUUGAGUUUCUUAUGGAAAAAAAAUUGAAAAAACACUUUAAGUGAAAAAAAUUUGUAUUUCAAUUUAUAUGUAACAGUGAAUUGGAAAAUAAAUUCUACCAAUAAUUAAAAGAAUACUUUUCUUUUAAUUAUUAAAAAGAUAAGGUAGUUACUCAUUACCCAUAUAAAUGGACAGUUUUAAUUUGUUCCAUAUCUAUACAACAGAAGAGCUUCAGACACGGUUUGCAGCGUUCCACGAUCACUUCCAUUCUAAGCAGCAGCGUCUUCCGUCUUUUUGCACACCAACAGCAGAUUCUAGAUGGCCAGAAGCUCAUCUGCCGCACUCUCGGGAUUUCGCUGCCAUCCUCAUCUUCAUCUCCACUACCUCCUCAGUGAUUAUCCCCUGGUUUUAUGCUCAGAAAUUAUGAUUAUUAUGUAUCUUGUUUUCAGAUUUGUCAAUACUUGUUAUAUUUUGAUUAUGCAUUAUGGACAUUUUUCAUAAGAUAGCUUAAUUUUGUGGUUUGUGUUGACGAUUUCCAUGUAUGGAUGUUUGGAUAGGUAAUUUCGCCUUCCAUGCAUUCUUCAUUCCUGCAUCCUGUGGGAGAAAAUUGGAAAAAGUGGUUUUUGAUGAGAAACGGGGAGAAGGAUGAGAUAUAUAUUUUUGAAGUGUCACAUUAUUUCAAAAACAAACCCCAAAUUUAAUUUCUCUUACCGAUCAUGAGUUAAAAUAUAAAAAUUAACGUUUACUCAUCACACUGUUAUAAGUAUCAAAGCAUUACUUAUAGAAAAAUUAUCGUCACCUAUCCUACAUUUGUGAUUGAAUAGUGGCACAAUUUUAAUUGGGAUAUUUAACAUUACUCUUUGUAAUUGUUUGGUCUUAUUUGAAGUUUGUAAAUUUUUCAUAACUAUGACUUCAACAGCAUAUUUCAGGUUGCAUUUAAUCGUUGCUAUAAUUAGGUACUUUGAAAUAAUUUAUUGGCCACGAUUACAGUCAUUGUUAUUAGUCACCCCUCUUUUUUCUCUUUUGGCCAACCAGCUCUUGGAUAUUUGGGAACCGAUGACAAUAGUUGGGAAAUUAUGUAAUAUUGGUGUGUUUGCGAAAUAAAUCAAGAGAUUUGCCUUGCCGAAGUUAAAAGAGAUAUUGUGGCCUGAAUUUUUUUUUUUUUUCUCUAGGGGCCAUGGCUCUCAAGGACAAGGCAUGAAUCAUGCAUUAUAAUUGCUCGAAAGGGUUAGUAAAAUAGCAAUCUAAAAUACCCAAGUUGGAUCUGCUGUUGAAUCACAAAAAGAACAUAAUUGGGAUAUGAAGUCAUGGUUGCAAGUGUUGGACCCUUAGGUUACGUUUGGCACGUAGGAUUGGAUUGAACUAAUUACUAAAAUUGGAUUGAAUUAUAUUCGAUUGGAUUAAACUGGAUUAUAUUAUAUAGUUCUAUGGUUAGUACAAUAUCGGAUUAAACUAUGUUAAAUUAUAUUUAAAUAAUAUUAAAUAGCAUUUAAGUUGGUAUUUUAAUAUUAAUAUCAAUUAUUCAUGAAAUUUCAUAAUCAUAAUUAAAAUAAAUUUAAAAAACAAUUACCAGGAAAAUUAAAUAUAUUGUAAAUAAGUUACUGGGUAGUCAUAAUACAGUAAACAAAUGAACAUAGAUAAAAAAAUUAAAUUUUAAAUAAUUUUUAUCAAAUUUUAAAAAAAAAUUAUAUAAAAUCAAUUAUUUAAUGGUAUUAUUAAUUUUCAUGAUUAUUUUUAAUAGUAUAUAACAAUGAUUAUUAAAUUUAAUACAAUCAAAUAAUGCAAUAAAUAAUUAAACAUUUAAUUUUAUCAAUAAAUUACUAAAUAUACAAGUGGUGAAAAUUUAAUCUCCAGAGUUAGUACAAGUAAAGGUAUUAAUUUAAUUAGAUCAUAGAUAAUAAAUAAAAAUAAGUUUUAAGUAAAUCAUAUUAAAAAUUAAUUAAUUAAUUAAUACUAGGUGUAAAUAAAAAAAAUGAUAUAAAUAAAAAUCUCAUAAAUGGACAACUUUUUUCUUUAAUCUUAUCCCAACUAAACCCAUGCGUAAAUUAGGAUUAUCAAUUCCAUGAUUUUAGGAUUAAAUUUAAAUUACUACCCCCUUAAUCCAAUCCAACUAAGCUUGCCAAACAUUGGAUAAAUAUUUAAUUCCAAAAUUAGUCUAAUCCCAUACUUAAUCCUAGAAUCCAAACAUGGCAUUAGCACCUUAUAUAACAAAGUGUCACUGAAAUACAGCAAAACGUUAUAAACAAGAACUUAUUUCUGUACAAAAUGUUAUUUACUUUUUGUGAACUUCCAAAUACCUACUAUAUGAUUUGCAAACCCUACAAAAGUCUACCUUGCAUGCUCUUUCUAACGUGAAAUUUGAUUUUUAUUAAAUUUUUGAUGUGUUCACUAAUAAAUAAUUGGAAUCUAAAAAAAUUAGAAAAAAAUAGAAUUAGAAUGAGCUACAAUAAAAAUGAGGAAUAACAAAAAAAAUGAUAUUUGUUGAGAUGAAUGAAACACAAUUGAAAUACUCUAUAUCGCUCUUAAUAUGUUCACUUUGUGAACAUAAAUUAGAAUUAGUUGUUAUAACUUAGUAAUUUAUCCUCAAUCAAUUAUUAUCAUUAUUACUAUUUGUUAUAAUAAUUGUAAUUAUUAUUUUUGAUAAUUUUAAUACUAAGAAAAUUAUUGUUAGGGGUGGAAACACCAUAUAGAGAAGGAACAAUUAAAUUUAUAAAAUUUAGUGGGGAUAAAAUAGUCACUUAAGACAGCAAGCGUCUCCCAUUCUCACCUCCACGAGCAUGAAAACACUAGUAAUCAUUCUUAAAUUUUGAUGGAAUCUGUUGCUUUUAUUCUAAUAACGAACGCAAAACCUAUGGAAUUAGUUGGAAUAACGAAUGCAAAACCUCUGGAAUUACAAUUGAAAUACGUCAACCCAAAAUGGAGAAAGCACAACUAAAAUUAGAGACCUACAAAACCAAAAAUAAACUUAUAGAAAACAAACCCGGUACCUAAUCUCAAUAAUUGGAAUCUCAACCAGUUAAUGGAAAUAUUCAACUCAAAAUUAGGGAAAAAUUAGAUGAAACACGUGAACCAUUGAGAGAGAAAGUAUGACGAAAAUUAGAAACUCAUUUAACGAAAAAUAAUAUUUACUUGGAAUCUAACCCAUGAUACUGGUACCUAAGGAACUUUAUAGGAAUAUGAAACGCAAAACCAGUGGACCAAUAAGUUGAAACAUGUGAACCAAAAAAUGAAAAACUAUAACCAAAUCUUGAGACUAAUCAAACCAAGCAAAAGUAAUAUUGAUAUUUAACCCAUAUAAUUGGAAUUUUACCAAAUUAGUUGGAAUAACGAAUGUAGAACUUGUGGAAUUACAAUUGAAAUACAUCAACAAAAAAUGGAGAAAGCACAACCAAAAUUAGAGACCUACAAAACCAAAAAUAAAUUUAUAGAAAAUAAAUUUGGUACCUAACCACAAUAAUUGGAAUCUCAACCAGUUAAUGAGAAUUCUCAACGCAAAACUAUAGGAAAAAUUAGCUGAAACACAUGAACCAUUAAGAGAGAAAUUAGAACGAAAACUUGGAACUUAUCCAACGAAGAAUGCUCGUGACUUGGAAUCUAACAACAAAUAUUGGUACUUGACUAAUUUAGUAGGAAUAUCAAAUGCAAAACUCAUUGACCAAUAAGUUGAAACAUGUAAACCAAAAGAUGAAAAAGUAUAACCAAAACCUGAGAAUAAUCAAACCAAGAAAAAGUAAUAUUGAUUUUUAACCCAUAUAAUUGGAAUUUUACCAACUUAAUUGGAAUAACGAAUGCAAAACCUGUGGAUUUACAAUUGAUAUACGUCAACCCAAAAUGGAGAAAGCACAACCAAAAUUAGGGACCUACAAAACCAAAAAUAAAGUUAUAGAAAACAAACCUGGUACCUAACCUCAGUAAUUGGAAUCACAACCAGUUAAUAGGAAUAUUCAAUGCAAAAUUGGGGAAAAAAUUAGAUGAAACACGUGAACCAUUAAGAGAGAAAGAACAACGAAAACUAGGAACUUAUCCAACAAAGAAUGAUAGUUACUUGGAAUCUAACAGUCAAUGAAUAGGAUGUUUAUGUUUACCUCAUUUUGAACCCUGAGGGCUUCGUUGAGUAGUUGAUUCAACAUAUCCAGCAACGGUUGGUGGACCAAUAAGUUGAAACAUGUGAACCUAUAGAUGGAAAAGAAUUACCAAAAUUUGUAACUAAUCAAACCAAAAAAAGUAAUAUAGAUAUCUAACCCAUAUAAUUGGAAUCUCGACAAAUUAGUUGAAAUAUUAAACAAAAAACUAGUGGAAUAAUAGUUGAAACACAUGAACCAAAUGUGGAGAAAGUUUAACCAAAUUUUGAAACUUAUCCAAUGAAGAAUGCUAGUUACGUGGAAUCUAACAACAAAUAUUGGUACUCGACGAAUUUAAUAGGAAUAUCAAACGCAAAAAUAGUGGACCAAUAAGUUGAAACAUGUGAACCUAUUGAUGGAAAAGCAUUGCCAAAAUUUGGAACUAAUAAAACCAAAAAAAGUAAUAUCGAUAUCUAACCCAUAUAAUUGGAAUCUUGACAAAUUAGUUGAAAUAUUAAACGAAAAACUAGUAGAAUAAUAGUUGAAACACAUGAACCAAAUGUGGAGAAAGUUUAACCGAAUUUUGAAACUUAUCCAACGAAGAAUGCUAGUUAUUUGGAAUCUAACAACAAAUAUUGGUACUCGAUGAAUUUAGUAGGAAUAUCAAACGCAAAAAUAGUGGACCAAUAAGUUGAAACAUGUGAACCUAUUGAUGGAAAAGCAUUGCCAAAAUUUGGAACUAAUAAAACCAAAAAAAGUAAUAUCGAUAUCUAACCCAUAUAAUUGGAAUCUUGACAAAUUAGUUGAAAUAUUAAAUGAAAAACUAGUAGAAUAAUAGUUGAAACACAUGAACCAAAUGUGGAGAAAGUUUAACCGAAUUUUGAAACUUAUCUAACGAAAAAUAAAUUUAAUUGGAAUUUAACCCAAAAUAUUAGUGUUUAACGAGUUUAGUGGGAAUAUUAAACAUAAAACUAGUGGAUCGGAAAAUGGAGAUAAGCAAACCAAUUAGUGAGAAAGUUGAAUCAAAAUUAGGUAUAUGUGAAAUUAACUUGGAAUGUCACCUAAUAUAUUGAUAUUUAACCAAAAGAAUCGAGACAUGCUCAUUUUAAUUUUUUUAAACUUUUGUUGCAAUUAAAAAUAAUUUUUUCACUUAAAUAUUGUUUGUGUUAAAUAUUUACAAAAUUUCCUUAAUUUUUCCUGUUUCAUUUUAUUUUUUCUACAUUAAAAAUAAUUUUUUAAAAAUUAUUAAAUGAACAACCGGUAAAAUACCGGUUGUUCAAGUUUCCUUUUUACUGUUGAAGGGGCUGUAUUUUAUACAGCACUGUACUAUAGGAAGACUCAACUUAUUGACAUCUUCUCAUAUAACCUUCGAUCAAGUCGAUUCUGACCUGACGACUAAUUGGUACAUCACCGUUGUUCUCUAUACUCGCAUGCAUCGGAUCACAAAUCUCACUCCAAUUGUCGUCUUUCUUCGCCGUUUUAGCGCAUAGUGAUGAUAGUGUUUUAGACUUCUGGAAUAUUACUAGAAUCGGAGAGAGUUGUUCUGGUGGCGGGUGCAAGGUUUGUGCAGAAACUAAGGUGCCUGCUCUUGCUUCCUCAACUGCAACAUCUGUUGGAUCUUCACAAUCCCCUUUGUUGUGUUCUCAAUGUGAAAGAAAAGUUUGCAAAGUUUGUUGUGCAGGAAGAGGAGCUCUACUGUUUUCAAAUUAUAAAUCAAGGGAUGUGACCAACUACAAUGGCUUCUCAAGUCAGAGUGGAUCAAGCCAUGGAAGCCAAGUUGAUGUAGCUACCAGUCGUUCACUAACACUGGAUGGCGUUAUCUGUAAACACUGUUGCCAUGAGAUGGUGCUUGAUGCAUUGAUGUUGGACUAUGUUAGGGUCUUGAUUAGGUUGCGAAGAAGUUCCUGUGCAGACAACGCAGCAUACAAUGCUUUGAAUGAGGUUGUUGGAUCCUGCUUAAAGGAUAGUCUUUCUGAGAGGAUUCAGUCUUCCGAUAAUGCGCAAGCAGCUAAAGUCCUGCACCAAUUAUGUGGUGGACAGGAAGCACUUGCUGAAUUUCCAUUUGCUAGCUUUUUGCACUCGGUAUGUUCUUGGUUUGUAUUCAGUUCUCAUCAUAUUAUGUUUUCCUUUUAAAUUUCAUUUCUUGAUUAAAAUUUUUAGAAAUGUGUUUUAGCAUUUAUUCUUAUGAUAUAUGCCCGGAACAUUCAUCCCACUUAUCCAUGAGAAUCCUUGUCUGGUUUGAUUUUCAAUUGAGACAUUUUUGGGAACCCUGCGCAGGUUCCAUAUGCUAAUAAUCUUUGAGGUAAGGUGUUGUAGGAUGCCUUGAGAAGCUAAAAACCAAUUACAAGGAAAAGCUCUUGCAUUGUUUUGUGCAAUCUGUGUGCUAGCAAGUCAUGUCUCUAAUAAUUUCAUAGUUCGCUUGAUUGGAAUUUUUUAUCUUGAUAUGGAUUGUUUAUUCUAGAUUCCUUGGUGCCACUGUAGGUUGAAACAGCAAAAGAUUCAGCACCGAUUUUGUCACUGCUUGCUCCAUUAAAUUCUGGAUCAAGGCACUCAUAUUGGAGAGCUCCACCUAGUACUACUUCUGUUGAAUUUGUUAUUGUUCUCGGUUCUGUUUCUGAUGUCAGUGGGGUUAUCUUGCUUGUUAGUCCUUGCGGCUAUUCUGUGGCUGACACUCCGAUGGUAAGUGCCAUAUUUAUUCCCUUAUUUCCUUGUUGUUCAAUAAAUUUGGUGAUAAGCCAAGUGGCCUUAAUAAUGAAGCCCAGUACCAGGGGUGGUGGGUAAUCGAUAUUCAACUUGUGAAUAUUCCUAAGCAAGCACGGAAUCAACAUAGACGUCGGCAAAAAUUCUCCAUAUGUAUAACUUAUUAAUCAGAGUCCUGUUAUUAUGGUUUGACACUACUGACAUAUUGUGUUGGUAUUUAUUUGUACUUCCCUUGGUUGAAUUAUUUGCUGUCUCCAUGCCAUUCGAUAUGGUGCUACUUGGUUUUUGAUCAUCCAUGACGCUAUAUAUAUGUAAAGGAUGAAUUGAUUGUUUUGGCUUGUAUUCUCACAUUUUAUGAUUGAUCGAUGGAAAGGUUUUCAUGCAUUAAAUUCAACCUCACAAGCGUAAGAUUGACAGAUUGUGGGCAAAUUUUCAGGAAAAGAAACUAGACUUCAUGGAAGCAAUGAAGCUUGAAAUUGAACGUCUGCAGCUGAAUCUUUCUGCAGCUGAAAGGGAUAGAACUUUAUUGUCAAUUGGAACUGAUCCUGCCUCUAUAAAUCCAAAUGUAUUGCUUGAUGAAUCUUACAUGGGAAGACUGUGUCGAGUAGCAAACACUCUUGCAUUACUUGGCCAAGCUUCCCUAGAAGAGAAAAUUGUUGGUGCAAUUGGCCUUGAGAAUAGUGAUGAUAGUGUUUUAGACUUCUGGAAUAUUACUAGAAUCGGAGAGAGUUGUUCUGGUGGUGGGUGCGAGGUUUGUGCAGAAACUAAGGUGCCUGCUCUUGCUUCCUCAACUGCAACAUCUGUUGGAUCUUCACAAUCCCCUUUGUUGUGUUCUCAAUGUGAAAGAAAAGUUUGCAAAGUUUGUUGUGCAGGAAGAGGAGCUCUACUGUUUUCAAAUUAUAAAUCAAGGGAUGUGACCAACUACAAUGGCUUCUCAAGUCAGAGUGGAUCAAGCCAUGGAAGCCAAGUUGAUGUAGCUACCAGUCGUUCACUAACACUGGAUGGCGUUAUCUGUAAACACUGCUGCCAUGAGAUUGUGCUUGAUGCAUUGAUGUUGGACUAUGUUAGGGUCUUGAUUAGCUUGCGAAGAAGUUCCCGUGCAGACAACGCAGCAUACAAUGCUUUGAAUGAGGUUGUUGGAUCCUGCUUAAAGGAUAGUCUUUCUGAAAGGAUUCAGUCUUCCGAUAACGUGCAAGCUGCUGAAGUCCUUCACCAAUUAUGUGGUGGACAGGAAUCUCUUGCUGAAUUUCCAUUUGCUAGCGUUUUGCACUCGGUAUGUUCUUGGUUUGUAUUCAGUUCUCAUCAUAUUAUGUUUUCCUUUUAAAUUUCUUUUCUUGAUUAAAAUUUUUAGAAAUAUGUUUUAGNNNNNNNNNNNNNNNNNNNNNNNNNNNNNNNNNNNNNNNNNNNNNNNNNNNNNNNNNNNNNNNNNNNNNNNNNNNNNNNNNNNNNNNNNNNNNNNNNNNNNNNNNNNNNNNNNNNNNNNNNNNNNNNNNNNNNNNNNNNNNNNNNNNNNNNNNNNNNNNNNNNNNNNNNNNNNNNNNNNNNNNNNNNNNNNNNNNNNNNNNNNNNNNNNNNNNNNNNNNNNNNNNNNNNNNNNNNNNNNNNNNNNNNNNNNNNNNNNNNNNNNNNNNNNNNNNNNNNNNNNNNNNNNNNNNNNNNNNNNNNNNNNNNNNNNNNNNNNNNNNNNNNNNNNNNNNNNNNNNNNNNNNNNNNNNNNNNNNNNNNNNNNNNNNNNNNNNNNNNNNNNNNNNNNNNNNNNNNNNNNNNNNNNNNNNNNNNNNNNNNNNNNNNNNNNNNNNNNNNNNNNNNNNNNNNNNNNNNNNNNNNNNNNNNNNNNNNNNNNNNNNNNNNNNNNNNNNNNNNNNNNNNNNNNNNNNNNNNNNNNNNNNNNNNNNNNNNNNNNNNNNNNNNNNNNNNNNNNNNNNNNNNNNNNNNNNNNNNNNNNNNNNNNNNNNNNNNNNNNNNNNNNNNNNNNNNNNNNNNNNNNNNNNNNNNNNNNNNNNNNNNNNNNNNNNNNNNNNNNNNNNNNNNNNNNNNNNNNNNNNNNNNNNNNNNNNNNNNNNNNNNNNNNNNNNNNNNNNNNNNNNNNNNNNNNNNNNNNNNNNNNNNNNNNNNNNNNNNNNNNNNNNNNNNNNNNNNNNNNNNNNNNNNNNNNNNNNNNNNNNNNNNNNNNNNNNNNNNNNNNNNNNNNNNNNNNNNNNNNNNNNNNNNNNNNNNNNNNNNNNNNNNNNNNNNNNNNNNNNNNNNNNNNNNNNNNNNNNNNNNNNNNNNNNNNNNNNNNNNNNNNNNNNNNNNNNNNNNNNNNNNNNNNNNNNNNNNNNNNNNNNNNNNNNNNNNNNNNNNNNNNNNNNNNNNNNNNNNNNNNNNNNNNNNNNNNNNNNNNNNNNNNNNNNNNNNNNNNNNNNNNNNNNNNNNNNNNNNNNNNNNNNNNNNNNNNNNNNNNNNNNNNNNNNNNNNNNNNNNNNNNNNNNNNNNNNNNNNNNNNNNNNNNNNNNNNNNNNNNNNNNNNNNNNNNNNNNNNNNNNNNNNNNNNNNNNNNNNNNNNNNNNNNNNNNNNNNNNNNNNNNNNNNNNNNNNNNNNNNNNNNNNNNNNNNNNNNNNNNNNNNNNNNNNNNNNNNNNNNNNNNNNNNNNNNNNNNNNNNNNNNNNNNNNNNNNNNNNNNNNNNNNNNNNNNNNNNNNNNNNNNNNNNNNNNNNNNNNNNNNNNNNNNNNNNNNNNNNNNNNNNNNNNNNNNNNNNNNNNNNNNNNNNNNNNNNNNNNNNNNNNNNNNNNNNNNNNNNNNNNNNNNNNNNNNNNNNNNNNNNNNNNNNNNNNNNNNNNNNNNNNNNNNNNNNNNNNNNNNNNNNNNNNNNNNNNNNNNNNNNNNNNNNNNNNNNNNNNNNNNNNNNNNNGGUAUGUUCUUGGUUUGUAUUCAGUUCUCAUCAUGUUAUGUUUUCCUUUUAAAUUUCUUUUCUUGAUUAAAAUUUUUAGAAAUAUGUUUUAGUAUUUGUUCUUAUGAUAUAUGCCCAGAACAUUCAUCCCACUUAUCCAUGAGAAUCCUUGUCUGGUUUGAUUUUCAAUUGAGACAUUUUUGGGAACCCUGCGCAGGUUCCAUAUGCUAAUAAUCUUUGAGGUAAGGUGUUGUAGGAUGCCUUGAGAAGCUAAAAACCCAUUACAAGGAAAAGGUCUUGCAUUGUUUUGUGCAAUCUGUGUGCGAGCUAGUCAUGUCUCUAAUAAUUUCAUAGUUUGCUUGAUUGGAAUUUUUUAUCUUGAUAUGGAUUGUUUAUUCUAGAUUCCUUGGUGCCACUGUAGGUUGAAACAGCAAAAGAUUCAGCACCGAUUUUGUCACUGCUUGCUCCAUUAAAUUCUGGAUCAAGGCACUCAUAUUGGAGAGCUCCACCUAGUACUACUUCUGUUGAAUUUGUUAUUGUUCUCGGUUCUGUUUCUGAUGUCAGUGGGGUUAUCUUGCUUGUUAGUCCUUGCGGCUAUUCUGUGGCUGACACUCCGAUGGUAAGUGCCAUAUUUAUUCCCUUAUUUCCUUGUUGUUCAAUAAAUUUGGUGAUAAGCCAAGUGGCCUUAAUAAUGAAGCCCAGUACCAGGGUUGGUGGGUAAUAGAUAUUCAACUUGUGAAUAUUCCUAAGCAAACACUGAAUCAACAUAUACCUCGGCUAAAGUUCUCUAUGCUAUUAUAACAGAAGUCAUAUUUUGAAAUGAUUAAAAGAGUCCCUGUGUAGUGCCAUUUCCAACGAAAUUGCAGCUGGGGGUUUAGUUUCAUGUAGGUUAGUUUCCGAUAAUAAACUUUCCAUUUCAUUAAUUGCUGAUGAAAAAACCAAGUAAGAACAGUUUUGUUGCUCAUCAUUUUUGUAUAUUUUGGUAAACUGUAAUUUUAAAUUCUCAACGAUCUUCCCUUUGUAGGUAAGAAGAUGGUCCACUCACUUGAUAUUUAUGAUUGUAGAUCAGGUUUCUAUUGGUUUGCCUUUAUCAUUUGGAACCCAUGUUUGAUAUUAACAGAGAUCACAUCAAUAAUAUCCUAUUUGGGUAGAUGUGGGUGAGGAUUUAAAAUCAAAUUUGAAAUUGAGGGGAAAGAAGAGAAAAGGAACCACAAUAAUUAAACAAAAUAAUAGGAACUAUUCUGAUGAGUUUUAAUCUCGAGAGGAACAAUUUUCAAAUGCACUGCUAGAGAAAUUGUAGCUUUUUGUCAUUAGUUAAAAGGAAAAAGAAUAAGAACUAUCCGGCCCUUUCCUUCAUGAAUGUGUGUUGAGGUUGCUGUAUUAUUUAGUCAGUAUUUGUAAUUUUCUUCCCUGCAGUGCUCUCUGCCUCCUGAAUUUGCUUCCUAUUGCUGUUACAGGUGCAAAUCUGGGCAAGCAAUAAGAUACACCGGGAGGAAAGGUCAUCAAUGGGAAAAUGGGAUGUCCAAUCCCUCACCACAUCUUCUUCAGAUUUGUAUGGUCCAGAAAAGUCUGCUAGUGUUGAAAAAUUACCUAGGCAUGUAAAAUUUACGUUUAAGAAUCCUGUUAGGUGCCGCAUUAUUUGGAUCACAUUACGUCUUCAGAGACCUGGUUCGGCUUCAGUUAAUUUCGGGAAGGACCUCAGUCUUUUGUCUCUUGAUGAAGAUGAAAACCCCUUUGCACAAGUAGACAGACGUGCUUCAUUUGGAGGAGCAGUUGAAAAUGAACCAUGUAUUAGAGAUUGAUGGACUACGAUCUCGUCUUGGAACAAUAUCUACCUCCAGCGUCACCUUUGCUUGCCGGAUUCCAUCUAGACGCUUUCAGUGCAAUAAAACCUAGGGUUACCCAUUCACCUUCCUCAGAUUCAGAUAUCUGGGACAAAUCAGUAACAUUUUUAGAAGACAGGUACAUCUCUCAAGCUGUGUUGUAUUUACAAGUAUCCGCACUCCAGGAACCACAUAACAUGGUAACUAUUGCGGAAUAUCGACUGCCGGAGGCUAGAGCCGGAACGCCAAUGUACUUUGAAUUCCCACGACCGAUACAGUCCCGACGAGUUUCAUUCAAGCUUCUUGGAGAUGUUACAGCAUUUGCAGAUGAACCUUCAGAACAAGAUGAUUCAGGAUUGAGAGCUCCACUUGUGGCCACAGGUUUGUCUUUGUCAAACAGAAUCAAGUUAUAUUAUUAUUGUGAUCCUUAUGAGCUUGGAAAAUGGGCAAGCCUUUCUGGAGUUUGAUCGUUAUUUAUAUGUCAGAGAAAGAGUUUUGGGUUUGAUUUUGAUUUUGAUUUGUAAUUUUUGUCAGUUUAUUGAAAUUUUUUUGUUGUAUAAAAGCAGAAUGUAAAGGUAUAAAAAUUCAUUGAUGCUGCAAUGUCUGUGCUUUUGAGAAAGAAGAAUUCAAUGUCUUUUCUAUGCCAUUGGAUUUUCCCACUGCUUGUAAACUUGGGCUGUCGAGUGCUCUGUGAACCUUAAGGGCUAUAAAGUAAUUUUUUAGACUGAAGGAUUUAUUAAUCGAGUUCAAAAGAUUGCAAGUUGGUGAGCGUUGGCAUUUAAAAAUCAAUUGUUAUUCUCUCAAUAAUCUCUCUCUUCUGCCGACACCCCAAGCUCAGAAACCCAUUGUUCCGACGGACGUGUAACACUUCCAGAAAUUAGCCUUUUCUUCUAUAUGAAGGUUGAUCUCUCCUCGUGAAGUGAAGGUGGUUUUCCAAUUACAUACGUCGGGGGUCUUAUGAUAUCUAAUGUGUGAAAUUUCUUUCUCAUUUUACCAUAAAGAAAAGUUCUGUAAUGAUCUAAAGUUGGGAGUCUUAAAUUAUCUUAAAUUUAUAUUUAGAGUGGAGUUAUUGGCACCCUACAUUAUUCUUACAAAAUUCUAUUUUAAAUAAAAUUAUAAUUAAAGACAAUUGAAAAUUAUAGAUUUUUUUACAGCAAAUUACUUAAGUCAUAAUUAAUCCUUAAAAAAAAAUCUAUAUGUUACUUCUUAUUUAAUUAAAAUAAAUUGUACAAAUUUAAAAUAAUUUAUUGUUUUCUUUUGAUUUUUUAUUGAUUAAAUAUUUUUAUACUUAAAAUUACUUUGAAAUUAUAAUUUAAAAUAUGUGUUAUAUGCAAUAGUUCGAUUUACCGAACCACAAAGGGAGCCAAUGUGGUUUUGCCAAAAUCACAUACUGUAGCAUAAUAACAGAUAUUAUUAUUGUAUAAUAGAUGGGUUUAGAAAAAUUGAAGAACCAAGUAAGUUAUUUGAAAAAUGUCGAUUCUCGUACCAAACCCAUGUUUUAUGCCAAUUGUUUUUGGAUUGGAGUGCAGGCAUUAACAAUGAUGGAGAUGGAGGAACUGUAGCAUUAGUCAUAUGAAGAGUACGUGUCAGGUUUGAUUUUCAUGUGAUUUGGUUAGUGACGACGAAAACGACGACGUCGUAGUUGAAAAGCGUUUGAAUUAAUGUUGCGUUAAAAAAAAAAUUUAACUUGUUCCACUAAUUAAGUCAACAUUACUGAUGUCUUAUCACCCUCGGCCAACUUAACAAUUGGUGUCCUUUGGACAAUUAAAUAUGAUUUAUUCAAAAAAAAUAAAACUAUUAAAUAUUAAAAAUUAGGUCCAUUAAUAAUAAUAAUAAUAAUACUAAGAAUUAAGAAGAUCUAAUUACAUAUCAAAAUGACUCAAACAAAUUAAUUAAUUUCAUAUUAGCUAGCCAAGUAGGUUGUCCAUCCCACUCAGACAUGCACGAAAGCUAAAUUCAUCAAAUGAAUUACUUAAGGAGUAUUUGAUAAUUUUGAAAUUAUAAUUUCAAAUUAAAAUAGUAGUAGCAAAAUCGUAGUGCACAUUCAAUUAACCAACUAAUAGUCUAAGAAGCAAAGAGAGGAUUACAAGUUCACAACACCAUUAAAAAGGAUUCAAAAUUCCCACACGAAAACAUCAAUGUACAGAUUAUAAACAAUCCGAAUUGGACACAAGAAAAAACCCUUCAAUGGAUUGCUUGCCUUCCCAAUGCUAUAUACUGUGCAAACUGCGCACUGGCCAAGAAAAUAUUUUCAAUUUAGUGUAUUUUCAAAAUGCUUAUUUUCUCAGAAUAUAAAAAAAAAAAAAACAAAAAAAGAAUUCUUACAUGUUUCAUCAGCAUGAUUAAAAUCAAAGAAGAAAGCGAAGACAUAAUGUCUCUGACAUAAUAAAAUUACAAUUUCAUGCAGCAGAGAUUGAAGAGUUGAAUUCCACUUAUAGACACCGACCUCUUGUUUUGUCUAAUGUUAAUAACGAAAACAACAACAGAGGAUUAACUGAUGCUUUGACUUAUUAUCAGGUUGCAAUGAAUUAUUAACUGAUGCUUUGACUUAUUAGGGUUGAUUCUCGAUUUGAGGAGCUACGGUCAACUGAUGCUUUGACUUAUUAGUUCUGCUGCUAAGUUAAAUAAAAUAAGGUAUUUUCAAAAGCAAAAUGGAAUACAUAGAUAAAACAUCAUCUUAAACAAAUCAUAAUCUAGAAUUGGAGACAUACCCAAGGAGAAAGAAUACGUGAAAAUGGGUGAUUCAUUUGUUAAGGAGUGUUGAUUUGGUCGUCUCUGCAAAUUCUUUAGGGACUCGGUUCCAGUUCCUCUUCAUCAAAACUGUAAUAUAAUUACAUGUUUGGUUUCAGAGAGAGUCUUUAUUUCUAAGUCGAGUUGAAAGCGGACGUAAAUAUUGCAGCAAUAACAAGAAUGAAGGUGCUUAAAAUCAAGAACAGCACAAAAAGCAAACCCGAUUAAGUUUCUGCAAGAAGACUGCGGUGGCAGUUGAAUACAUAUCGAAGAUCCUGAACUUUGAUUGCUGAACCAGUCAGGAAUUUCGCUUCCAGGUAAAACAAUUAGGGAUCCCCUCAGUUCAGAAAGUUUCUGUGAAAUGACAUUUAAAAAAAAAAAUUGUAAAAUGAAAACCAUGAUUUCAGAUAUAACAAAGAGGGACAGAGUAAACAAGAGAGGGAAUUUGAUACCUCGUUGAUUGCCUUUUCAUAGCCCAGUCUCAGUGAUGCAAUUGCCACAUGCCGAAUUCUUAGUUGUGAAUCUGCCAAAAUCUUGUUGUUUGCUUUUCCAUUCAGUUUCAAGCAGUUAGUAAACCCAAAAUAAAUUGGUUGUGACUCCAGAAGUCCGGUUGCCCAUUGACGAAGGUCAGGAGAGGGUUUCGAUAGCUUUUCUAGUACGGAUGCAUCUAGUUCUUGCAGACAUGACGGAAUCUCUGGCAAAGAUUGAAGCCGGUUGCAGUUCGUUGCAUCUAGUUCUUGUAGACACAAUGGAAGUUCUGGUAAUGACCGAAGCAUGUUACAACCCGUCAAGUGAAGAUAUUUUAGACACAAUGGAAGUGCUGGUAAUGACUGAAGCAUGUUACAACGCCUCAAGUCAAGAGAACACAGCCGCGACAGUUGCUUGAUACUUGCAGGUAAACUCUCAAAGUUAUUUCCACGUAGAUCCAAGCUUUUCAGUGAGGAUAGAUAGGCAAUCUCUUGUGGAAUUUCCAUUACAGCACAGUUCAUUAUGUAUAGAAGUCCCAAAGAAGAUAAACCUAAUAAUAAUGAUCGAGGCAAUGAUACCAAACCUUUGCAGCGAGAGAAAUCAAGAAUUAAAAGUGCGUUUGAAUCUGCAACAGAGGAUGGUAGUUGACUAAUAGCUGAUCCAGCUGCUGAGAUGUGACGCAAAGAUUCUAAAUUGCCAAUGUUAUCCGGCAACUUAUCAAGUUUAGAGCAAUCACUUACGAACAAUUCUUCAAGCCCCGGUAGAUUUUCAAAUGACGAUGGCAGCUCUGUAAUUGCCGUCCCGUCUAAAUUGAUGCGUUUUAAAUGUUCCAUUUUCUCCAAGAUUUCUGGGAAGCGCUCAAGGUUCAAGCAGCCAUUAACAAAAAGAUCAACCAAAGAUCUCAAUUUACAAAACCUAGUUGAAAUCCUCUUCAGCCGUUUGCAAUCCCUCAAAUCCAACACUUCAAGAUCAGUUAGGCACUCUAUUGAUGAUGGAACUUCUUCUAUUGCAGACUGGUCUAAGUAUAGCCGUGUAAUUUUCCCAGAAAUCUGUGGAAACUCUAUGAGAGUAACACAAUAGGAGAAAUUAAUAGUUACUGGACAAACAAAAUGAAGAUUGCUUGGAAAAGACCUAAGACUUUUGCAGCCCUCAAAAGACAGCGCACUGAGAUACUUGAAAUUCUGGAUAGAUGAGGGAACACAAGCCUUUUCUCCUUCCCAAGGUUGCUCAACUUUACUAAAACGCAAAUUCAGUUCAACAAGGUUCUUUGGCUUGAAAUUUGAUGGCAGUAUCCUUAAUGGAUAUGUGUCCCAAUGAAGAUAUCUCAAUUUUUCAGGAAGAUAUUCUAGGCCAUUUGGAAGCUGCACUUCAGAGUAUGAAAGUUGCUCUUCAAUGCUCAUACUUAGAAACCUUUCAAUCUCAUAAAACUUACUUGGAAACCUUUCAAUCUCAUAAAACUUAGGUACAUAAAAUUUGAGCAAUCUCAGAUUAGACAUAUUUGUGAAGGCUCCGGGGUCUAAAUUGAUGCAUUUUAUUUUGGACAAAUCCAGAAAUAUGCCUUCAAUUGCAUCGGUCCCCUUAUAAAAAAAAAAAACAAAGAAUGAGUAAGCCAAAAAUAAAAAAGCAACAUGCGUAAACUUUAUUAACUAAGAGCUCCUUAAACAAAAACAAAUUCUGCAAUCUUUGAUUUUAUUUUUUUAAUAUAUUAAAUAUCUAUAUGCGAGAAAAGAAAAUUUUGGGGACCAUUGCAAAAUUAAACUAACCGAAAAAAAAUUCAAAAUUUCUCUAAUUUACAAUCCUAUUAUCUUAAUAUCUAGAAGUUGAGAAGAGAGUGCCUAUUUGAUUGGUAUAAGAUUUCGAAAUUUUUUUUUUUUAGUCGAUAGAAUCCAAAAUGUUAGUUCAAAAUUAGGGAAAAAAAUAAAAGUCAUUUUUUUUCCACUAGUUAAAACUGUAUCCAAGUCAAAUUAAGAUACGACCCUUUUUAAAAAGAUUUAACCAUCUUACAGCCUCCUUAAGGUACAUUUAAGCUAAAAGGAGUAAUUUGAGGCAGAACUAGGUGGUCCAAUCAGUCCAUUUUAUUAGUGUCUGUUGCUUAAAAAAUUUAUACUCUAAAACACACUUUUUUGGAAAAAAAAAUAUAAUUACAUUGAAGUAGAAUCAGGUGGGCCAAUCCUCAUGGCACUCACUUUAUUUUGACACUCUUCACUAAAUUUGAAGAAAAAUAAAAUUAUACUCUUCACACUCUUAUUCAACAUUCCAAAAUUGAUAAAAUCUGGAGUUUUCUUUAAAAAUUUAAAAUUUGAAGACUUGUUCUCUUGACACCCUCAGUCAUUAAUUUUACCUAAUUAUGGUUUUUAUGAUUUUGGUUGUUUUGUUCAUAAAAAUGAUUUUACUAAAGGAUGCUCUGGUAAUAAUAAAAUUUAUAAAAAAAAAUGGGUGUGCUGGUAUGAUUGGAAAAAUAUGAGUGCAUAACUCCAAACAAAUAAAAGAUAUAUAAAAUAAAUGGAGGAUUCUUACCUUUUUAUGCUUGAGUACGCGGCGGAUUUCCUUAGGAUCCCACAACCUGCUGCGUUUGCCAGGCUCUUUCUCAGAUUCUUGGCGAACAAUCUGUCGCCCCAUUUCUUGCAAUAAAUCAUGCAUUUGCAAGCAAUUACCUGAUAUUGAUAUGAGUGACUUAUCAAUAAGGACAUCCAGUCCAUCAGACUCAGAAUCAUCAAGAAUCCUUGCCACAAAAUCUUUAUCCUCUCCCUCAAAGAAACACGCAAUAUCUAGAAACAAACUCUUCACCCUAGGAAUUAAUUCAUUAAAACUAAUCUUUAAUAUUUCAUAAAUAUUAUGAAUAUCAGAUUCACAAAUCCGAUUUAAGUCGUGCAAUACAUUUUCCCAAUGGCUUUUCCUCUUGAGGCACAGGGAGGAACCCAACACUUUAAGAACUAAGGGAUUGCCUUUGGCAUACUCUACAACCCUCCGUGAGUGCCAGUUGAGAUUUGUAGGACAAUGAUUUUCUUUAAAAGCGAAGUUACAAAAAUGCUCGAAAGCCUCUUCAAAUUCCAAUCCAUUAACCCUAUGUAUUUUCUUCUCCUCCCCUCUAAAUUUUUCGAGGACUCCUUUAUCCCUGGUGGUUACAACAAUUCUACUUCCUGGACCAAAUUGAUCAAGCUCUCCAAUCAGACCCUCUAAUUGUCCAACUUCAUUCACAUCAUCGAGUACUAUCAACACCUUCAUACGCCAGACCCUCUCUUUAGUAAAAUGUGGAAUAUUGGCACCAGCUACUUCAAGUUUUUCGCUUAAUAUUGUGGAAAGCAUUUCCUUUUGGAGAUGUUCUAAUCCACCUCCUGUUUCAGAAUUUCUCCUAACAUCUGACAUAAAGCAGCUACCAUCAAACUCACCAGUGAAUUGAUCGAAAAUAGCUUCAGCAAGGGUGGUUUUGCCUAUACCGCCCAUGCCCCAAAUUCCAACAAUUUGGACAGUAUCCGACAAAUCCAUACACAAAAAUGGUUUAAUCUGCUCAAUUCGUGAAUUUAAUCCAACUAGGCCAUUGGAUGAGUCCGUUGCGACUGUUAUUUUUUCCAAAUUUUUUCCAACUUCUUCAAAACAUCUUCGACAAUUUUGUUUACAAGUUCCGCAUCGUGCCUAAUAUAAAGGUGCAAAGAUGCAAAAACAUUGAGUCAAAUCGGGCCAAGACAGAAACAGAGAUAAGAUGAAUUAGGAAAGAGAGUUACCUGAAUUUCGUGGAUUCGUGGCCAGCAAGACCGGAUGUUUCUCUCAGUGCAUCCCUCCACCUCUGAACCAUUUCUGGCUUCUCUUCGAAGUGUUGUUUCAGCUGAUCAAAACCGUGCUUAAAAAUUCCAGUUUGAUGCCGCACAUCGGAUGGACUUACUCCAUAGAAAACCGGAAUAAUGAUUUGGCGGUUUGUGUGCUUGCAUUCAAGAAUCUUGACAAGUUCAUUCAGGCACCAUUUUGAAGAACCGUAGUCCUUUGAGAAAAUGACCACCGAAAUUUUUGAACCUUGGAUUGCGUUCAAAAGGGCAUCUGAAAUCUCAUCUCCUCGCCUAAGCUUUUCAUCAUCCAUAAAUGUUUUGAUUUUCUUUUUGUCAUACAAAUCAUCAUAGAGAUGGCAAGUAAAGAUCCUACGAGUGUCCUCCCCUCUAAAAUUGAGGAAGACUUCAUAAAUGCAAGAAGAAGAAGAAGAAGAAGAAGCAGCCAUGAAGGAAAUUUUAGAAAAUUGGUGACAGAAACAGAGAAUUAAUCUUGAGAGUUGAGAGAGGAGAUGUAAGAAUGAACAUGUGUGAAGAUUCUUGCAAGCACACAGAAAAUAAUUGAAUGGCUGGAGCUUUCUUAGUUUCCUGGAAAUUUCCUGGAGCUUUCAUAUACAUGAUUUGUCAAGUCAAGAAACAUAAUCAUGAUAAUGGGGCAGACCAGGAAGAAAAGAAAACUUGAUUCAACCAAUAAAGGAAGGAAAAGCAAAGAAAGAAAAUUUGAAAGUAGAUUCAGAGAAUUAUAAAAAGCUAAAGGAAAUUGGAAUUUUGUACAAUUUCUCCAGCGAAAAUUAAGCAUAGAAUAAUCCUAAAAUUUAAACUCUAAUAUCUUAUAAUGUAUUGAUUAAAAAUAAUCCUAAGAGUUCCCAAUUGAAACUUUCAUAAGUAUUUUAAUUGUUUUGGAUAAACAAAUUGUACUAGGAUAAAAAUUUGGCAAAUUCAGAGGAUAAUGGAAAAUAGUUAUGCUUCAAUAGGCCAAAGAUUAGAGAACAAACAAGAAUUAGUUAUUGAUACACAAAAGAGAAACACUCCAAAAUUUCAAGCAAAAAUAGUUUCAUAUACCAUUUCGAUUUUGGAAGGGGUGAGGUUUUGAACUUCAAUAGUUUCCUCUAAAAUUAAAAGGCAGCAAUUAAACUAGAAAGAGCAAUGAAGACUUAUUGGUACUUUAUUGAAGGUAAACAUUAUGAAACUUUCAAUGUCAUUACCUCAUUGUUCAAUUUUUAUUGAGAUUUGUGUAAGCAUUUAGCUAAAUCUUACCUCCGCCUUUAAAUUCAUUAGUUUUGAUUAAUUAUGAGACCUGGGAGAUAUUAUAAUCGAACUAAAACUUAAAAUUUCAAUAUCAUUAUUCUUUAAAAAGAAAUUGAGAUUUCAGAGUAAUAUCACAUAGAAAAACUUGCCCACGGACGGUAAGCCAAAAGUCUAGUCAACCACACGCAUAAAGCUAACUAGAACAAGAGAACAGAGAAACGCGUGGGUCCCUAAAAGAAAAGGCGUGGGUCCCAAAAGUCUAGUCAACCAUACCGAUGAAAAUCACUGAUUAAGAAUAAUAUAUUAUGUGGUUGAAGAUUUCUUUUUAUCAAUCUUCUUUCUACCCAUUAAUUUUCCCACGACUUUCCGGUUUCAUUUCUUGAAUCUCCAUGGAUUAACUUUCAAUAAACCAUAAAAUAAACUAAGGAAUCAUUUUCUCGAACACAGCUAUGAUUUUAAUAAAUGGGCGGACCAUCUAGAAUAGUAUAUAUAAUUCUGUUUAAUUAAUAAGUUGAAAAAACCAUAAAGAGAAAUUCUAAUAUUAUGAGCUUGACACGAAUUCUUCACUAAUUCCAAAACAAGGAGCUGUUUUAUAAGAACUGUGGUUGGAUUAUUAAGUUUUACAAUUUGAAUAUAAAUAAGAAAAUAAAAUCAGUCGCGUCGAUGUUUUCGAUACAUUUCGAUGCUAACUUAAUUAAUUACUUUACUUCAACUUUAUUUCCUGACGGACACUAUAUGGUGGGUCCAAGAUGGGACCUACAAUAAUCAAUCCUAGAAUUUAGUAUGGUUACCAAAUAGCUAGUGUUAUUUUGUGUUUGGUGGAAGAGAUUGAAUAUUUAGUUUUAACAUAACCAUUCAACUAAUUAGAAAAUAAAUAAAGUUAAAUGAAAUGUUUAGAUAUCAAUUUAAAUAUUAAUAUCCGGGAUAUAAAUUAGUUAUAAUAUAGUUCAUUACAUAAAAUUGAUUAAAUUAAUAAUUACACAUGAACAUAGAUGUAUAUGCUUUCCAAUUUCCAAAGUGCUCAAAGCACUUUUCUCACCAAACUUUCCUCUGAAUUUCCCGUAGCUGACUCCAUUGUUUGCGUUUUGUGAAAUUUCUAGGAACUUUUUCUAUUUAGAAUAUUGUACAUUUUUCUUUUCAGCUGAGAUUAAUUUAACUUAUAGAAAAUCUUAUCCUUUUUUUAAUAUUAUUUAAAUAAAAUUUGUCUAUCUUUCAUUUUAUCAGUCUACUUUUUACCCAUUAAUUAAGACUUUUCGAUUUCUUUUUUUCCUGAGGUUUUCAGUGACUAUCUUUCAAUAAACCAUAAAAAUUAAUGAGUCAUUUAUCGAACAAUUAGAUGACCAUAUUUCAAAAUAUCAACUAGAAGUUGCCCUGAAAUAUUUAAUUAAUAGUUGAAGAAUUGUGAUUAGUGUGGGCAUCUACAUAAAAAUUAUAUUAAAACACCGCUAAAAGAUAAAAAUAAAAUAAAAUAGUACAAACAUACACCCAUAGGUUAAAACAAAGAAAAAACACGAACCAAUACACUAAAAUGUUUUAGCUGUAGUUAGUUUUCAGUUUCAUUACUUAAGUCCCACGUGCAUGUCACGUGACUGAGGUCAAAAAAUGAUUGUCAGAUUAAAGUUCAAAGUACGGAGCAGGGUAAUUAAGGAGUGGAGCUAUUGGCACCCCUCCAUUAUUCUUACAAAACCCCACUUUAAAUCAAAUUAUAAUUAAGAAUAAUUGAAAAUUAAACACUUAUAGAUUUCUUUACAACAUGUUUAGUGAUAAAAAAGCACCAGUCGGGCAUGUCCCCAUUUCUUACCCGGGGCCGAAUCUCCUCGGCCGAAUGGUAUGAGUAGACUCUUGGUGAUGUGUUCUAUGUGGAGCACGUAAAACAGACCAGGAACUAGUACCAACCAGAAACGAGUACUGAUCAGAAACAAGCAUGACCAGAAACGCAUACCGACUAGAGACUUGUGGGUCCCUAAAAGAAAAGGCAAGCACAUAAACGAAAAAGCCAUUACAUUUCUAUUUUACAUGUCAUUCCUAAUUUUUGUAACACGGUGUGGCAGCAUAUGCACAAUCAAAUGAGGCAAAAGGGAUUCGACUAUCGUGGCAGAACAUGGACGAGGAUGCGUGAUGAAUAAUUCCUUCGAUAAAACGAAAAACAAAUGCAGAGAAAAGAAUUUCUUAUAUGACAAGAAAUUAAAGUAAUGUGACGGAACAUGAUGAAGAAAUUGCAGAUCGAUCAAUUAUCCCCAUGGACUCCUAUAAAUUCAACCAAAAUAACAAUUCCAAUAUUACCAAAUUCUUGAGUUAAAUUUAUUCAAUGCUUUUUUUUAAGAGAAAUUUUUUCCAAUGCUACUUUCCCUUUUUUGGGGAAAUUAGAACUGCGGCAUGUAUAGAAGACAUUGAGGUAUAAAGCAACAUUAAUUUCAUGGGUUAUGCGUUAUACGCAUAAUAUAUUGUCAGUCCAAAUUCAACUAUACAAAGAGGCUUGAGAACUUAAAAUUAAGCACAAACUAAACAGACGAAGUAAAUACAUGAUUAUGCAACAUAACAUUAAUUCUCUUAAUUUAUAACCGUUUUGCCACAUGAAUCUUGCACAGUUAAUCCUAAUUGAAGACUAAAAAAGAACAAUUGGAACAAGGUUUUGAAAUAGAAUGAUAUACAAUCGAUAUGAUCCAUUUCCAGUCGUCAACGCUAAUUAACUGCAGUUUCUAGACUCCUAAUUAUACUAGCCAUAAGAAACUGUUUAGAAAACUGGUGAUCAGAUUAGAUUUUGAAAAGAAAUAAUUUUCAUUUUCCCUUCGCUACCUUUUUUUUUUAAUUAUUUUUAUACCAAAGAAUUCCCUUUUAUUUAUUUAUUAUUUUUAUACCAAAGAAUUCUAUCAUGAAAAGAAUCAAUUUAAUCACCUUUUCCAGCAGCACAAUUUUUCUUUUAUAAAAUUUGACCACAGAGACAAAGAAGAAUUAUUCAUACCUUCAUCAGUAAGGAAAUACUUUUCAUUAUGGCUAGGGUGAGAAAAGGCUUUCCACAACACUUGUACUUUGUAUUCCUGUAAAUUUUCUUUAAAGUCAAUAAAAACCAUAAGUUCUUUACAAUAACCAUCUCUUUGAUAAAAAAGUGCCGUAUUCCUUUAGAAUUUAAAACCGGAAAAAUUGAAUCAGUGUCUUUGAAGAGACAUAAUGGUCGUAAUUCUUUAAAUGAGUUGGCUAUGGAAAUCCUUAUCCAAGAUUCUUUUACGCCAUAUUCUUUCGUAAACCAAAAUUCAUUUUGGAAUACUCUGUUGAGAAUGUCAAAUAAAACGACAUUGAAGGAAGUUUUCAAAGGCAGAAUCCGCACUUGUCAAAGGGAUGAUCUGCACUUGUCAAAGACACGAUCCGCGUCGAAUGAAUCGACACAUUUCCUUUCGUAUUCGCAUAUGUAAUCUUUGAAAAAAUGUAGCUUCUGCAUCUAUAAAUAACGCUUAGUGUAUAAUGUUUUAUUCAAGAAAAGAAAACAAGUUUCUUCAUACUCGUCGUCCGAACAUACAGAGACCGUCUCUUAUAACUUCAGCCGAAUACUUAUGAUGAUGAUCAUUUGUGAUUUCAUCAGGCAAAGGGUUGAUGGUGAAAAAAUUUGUAUGUGUGAAGAAUUGAGCUGUGGAUAUAGGGGACUUAAGUGUAAUCGAAAGAGAGUUAUUAGGUCAUAGUGCAGAUUGCAUUCAGUUUAUGGGUCGCUAUGCAGAUAAUUUGUUGACGUGGCGAAAUCUGUUAUGGUCGUUAGUAUUGUUUCUGGAAAUUUUCUAGAAACCUCAGCAUAAAAGGGGCUUUUGCAUAGCCUCUGGUGUGCGUGUGAUUUCUCUUUCGUUUCCUCAUCAAAUUCUGUAAUUCUUGCUUUGAUAAAAAGCUUGUAAUCUCUUCUGUAAUGUGUGAUCAGUGCGUAAUCAUUUUGAGCAAUAAGAGCUUGUGGGUUUUUCCUUCAAACAGUGUCGUUUUGGUCAGUUUGUUAGUUUGAUCUGUUGGUGGAAUUUUCUUUGGUUAUUUGUUCUCAAAUUUCAACCGUAUAUAAAGUUUGAACUCUAAUGGCUUAUAAUGUAUUGAUUAAGAAUAAUCCUAAGAGUUCCCGAUUGAAAUUUUUAAUGACUAUUUUUAUUGUUUUGGAUAUACAAAUUGCAUUAAGAAAAAAUAUUGUCAAAUUCAGAGGAUAACGGGAAAUAAUUAUGCUUCAAAAGGCCAGAGAUUAGAGAACAAAGAAGCAUUCAUUACUGAUAAACAAAAGAGAAACACUCCAAAAUUGCAAGCAAACUAGUUUCAUAUACUAUUUGGAUUUUGGAAGGGGUGAAGUUUUGAACUUCAGUUGUUCCUCUAAAAUCAAAAGCAUCAAUUAAGCGUUCUCAAUUAGAAAUAGCAAAGAAGACUUAUUGGUACCUUACUGAAGUUAACAUUGUGGCACGGUUGUUCAUAUGUAAUGGCUGCUCUGUUAUGCUAGCUUCUCUGUUUUUGCUUACAGUUUUGAACAUAAAUUCUUGCUCAAAUAACCCAUAAUUAAAUAACACUAAUAUGGCUCCUGAAAUCCCAUAAUAGCUAAUUACGCAACUUUCUCCUCCUCCUCAAUUAUGUCUUCCCCUGCUCGGACACUAACUUCAAAAUUCAAUGCCCCGAAAAACAACACAAGAAAUCUUUGAGUUAAAUCGUGACCAGUUUAUAUAUCGUAGCAAUUGAAAAAGAAAAAGAAGAAAAGAGUUAAUUAUUAUUCAGACCUUCACUUAUUAGGAAGUUUGUUCUGCUAUUGGGUGAGAUCAAGCUCUCAGCAUAUACUUCCACAUGAUACUUUCUAACAUUUUCUUGAAAGCCAUCAAUCAUAAAAUCUUCAUACUUUUUUCCAUCCUUUGGAUCAAUAAGUACAAUUUUUUCAUCUAAAACAGACAAAAUAAAAUCACUGUCCUUCAUGGAACAUAAUGGCUGCAAUGCCUGAACUGAAUUGGCUAAUGAAACAUAGUCUUCUUUUCUUUCUCGACAUGGAACAUAGUCUUCUUUUCUUUCUGGACAUAUGUCUCUGUACUUUUCUCUCUCUACUGAUCCACACUUUUUCAUACUUCUAACUAUCAUUUUGUUUUUUUUUUGUUAAGUUGUGAUUUAUUCAAUUAUUUUGUAUUUUUAAUGACAAUUAUUUAAUAUUUAGUUAGUUUUGAUAUUGAUUAGUGAUUGAAAGUGUAUUUUAGAAGACUUCCGGUCUCUUGAAAAAAGGAAAAAUGGAGAAGAAGAAGAAGUGUUCUUGAUUUUUUUGUAGGCAUUAAAGUUAAACGGUUUGAAAUGAUAUUUUGUUUUUAUUUCACUCAUUAAUCUCAUUCAGGAUAAAAUUAUAAAUGCAAAUAAAUGGGGUUUCAUAAGUAUUUUUAAUAGUGUUAAAAGGUCUACUCACUAAAUAAACAUGUUUUACCCAAACCAAUCCGAUUAAUAAGUUAUUAGGUUGGGUUGAUCAGGUUAAAAAUCAAAAUUAAAAAUUAAAUAAAUAAAAGGCAUAAAAACUAUCUGUUACUUGAAAAUAAAAAGAAUUUCUAAUAGUUAGUUCUAAUGUCCCAUAUCCAAAACAUGCAUAUUGUGAGGUUUGCUGGUGAAUCAAACUCAUCAGAACCAAAUGAUGACGUUUUGGCAAUUGAAGGAGCACUUAAAAGACACGUGAAACGCACGUCUGUUGUCACUUAAGAUUAAAGCUUGAAACGGCAGUUCAACCAUGUCGUUUAAAGGAAGCUUAGAAGUGAUGCACGUGACAGAUGUGUGAAGCAGCUCAUCUCAGUUCGUUAAGUUUGUUAUGCUACGUGUAAGCAAUCAGUUCGAUCUGGGUUUAGCUGGUUAGUUGCUCUGUUAGUUAUAAGAGCAGGCUGAUGAAACGAUUUGGGUUAAGCUUGUGAAUUCAUAUCAGAGAGAGAGAGAUUUCAGUGAAAGGGUUAAGAGUUCUCUGAAAUCUUGUAAACCAUUCUCUGUAAGAAAGAUCCUCCAUUGUUGAAUAAUAAAAGCUCUGCAGAAAACUUUUCCUGUGGAUGUAGAUUGUACCAAUUUGGUACAACUGAACCACGUAAUUGAUUCUUGUGUUGUCUGUGAUUUGUUUGUUUCUUGAUUCUCUAUUCUUUCUAGUUCUUGGGUACAUUGUUUUCACUUGGCUAGAUUCAUUCCUCAAUCUGUGCAUCUUGUAUAGUUCUUUAUCAAAGGUCCUGGGAAGUGUUUUAUUUGUCUUGCAUGUUAUAUAGCAAAUUAAAACACUACACAUAUUAAAUAAUAUAUUAUAAGUUAGAAAUACAAUAUCUAAAGAAAGAAUUAAUGAAAUAACAUAUUCUUGUUGAGAAUUAAGAGUGUGAUUUUAAUUUUGAUAUUGGAGUCUAAAGCAAUAGAUAGUACAAUGAAAUCAUGAAUGCUACGUUUAAAUAAUCUCUUUUAUAAAAUAAUAAAAAGAGGUUAAAAAUUAGGUUAACAUUUAGGGUUUAGCAGUUAAGGAUGAAUAUAUUAUUAUUGUUGUUGUUGUUAUUAUUAUAAUAAUAAUUAUUAUAAUAAUAAUUAUUAUUUAUAUGUUAAUUAAUUCAAUCCAACUUAAUUAUUAAUGAAUUUGAAAAAAUUGACCCAAUUAAUCCACAAUAAUUCAUUCAACUCGUCUAAAUUAGAUUAAGUUGAACUUAAUUUGCUACCCCACAUUGAGCAACAAACCUCAACGUCAUUCUACGAGCUCUUUGAUUGUUUAUAAAAUUGAUUUAGAGUACAUAAAGUGUAUCGACAAUGAAAGUGCAAAACAAAUUAUUGUACAUAUUAAAAUGUGCAAAAACAAUGAAUUAUAUGUACAAACGAGUGCAAACACAUUUUUCAAUAAGAAGUUGGAAGAUAUUUAUGCAUGAAAAAGCCUACGUUUGUAGUUAUUCUAAAUUUUAAAAACAAAAUUUACAUUUAGAUUCCUAAAAUUUACAUAUAAGUAUAAAAGUUUCAAAUAUUGUCUAUUAUUUUUUUAACAUGCCUAUUCCUUGUGGAUAAUUUUGUCUCAUCACUAAUGUUGUUUCUUGCUUACAAAAACCAAAAGCCACCUCCUUUUUGCAAUUUUUAUAGCGUCUCAAAAUAGACAAUAGGGGGAUUUUGAAUUUUUUAAGUCUCAAUAUAGUCUCUAAUCUUGUGAGAAAUAUUUUCUUUCAAUAAUUUGGAGGUAAACAUAACAUAACUUUUUGGACUAAAGCCUAACUCUGCUAAUAAGUAAUUGGUGGUAUCCUUUUCAAGACUUGAGUCUUUAGAUUCGAGUUUUAUAUAGUGUGCAUGUGUAUUUAAUUAAUAUUUUUUUUCAAAAAAAAUUACAUCAAAUACUAAUAUUCAUGACAUAAUUUAGUUCAUAAUUUUUUUAAAUACAUCGAAAAAUAUAAUUUUUUAACAACUUAAAGGCAUGACAAAUUUCAAGAUAUAAAUAUCAGUCAAAAUAAGUGAAAGAAAUAAUGGUGUCAAUUCUAAUUUCUUAACUAAAUUAAUUACUGCAUGAGCCCCGAAUAUGACACGAGAGUUUGAUGGGCUAACUUGGCACAAGAACGUGAAUAGUUAACUCAUUUAAGAAAUAAUUCAACAAAAAAUAUAAUUGAUAAGAAUGCAAUAUUGAAAUGAAUUUUUUACGAAACAUUGAAUUAAUGAUUAUUAAGCAAGAACAAUAAAAAAAUAAAAUAAAAAUAAAGAUUAACCAUUGAUAAGCUUCAACAAGAACUUAACACAACCCUCAAUCCUAAUUCAAAUUAUAAAUGUCAUUCAUAUAUUCAUUAUAAAUCAAUAACAAAGGUUAUAAAUGUUUAGAAAUUCUAGAGGGAAGGAAGCUAUCGCCGGGGAAUCAACAACUAAAAUUGAUGUAAUUGUGGCACGAGAUGGAAUAUGGAAACUACACCAUAAUUUUAAAUGCCGCCAUAGACAUUGACUUAUCUACAAUAACAAUGAUCUAAUUAAAAUUAAAAUAAAGUUUAUGGGCAUUUAUUAUUUUGCCAUUCCUCAUUUGCAAAUAGGGAUAUAAUUAUAAUUUUACUUAGUCAAAGCAAUCAGUAAUUUUUAGGGGUGUUCAAAAUUCAAUCCGAUCCGCUCAAUCCGUCUGAUCCGUAGAAAUCCGAUCCGUAAAAAUCUGAUCUGUGGAUUGGUAGAUUGGAUUGAAUUGAAAAUUUGAUAAUCCGCAAUCGGUGGAUUGGGUAUGGAUCUACUUCUGUAAAUUCGUAAAAAUCCGUGAAUCGGCAAAAAAUAAAAAGUAUUUAUUUAUUAAAAAAUAAAACUUGUAAAUAUGGCAAUAGUACUUACUAGUAAAUAAAUAAGUUAAAAUAUAGUUACAUUAACACUAUAUUAUAUCUUAUCCGAUAAUAAUAAAAAAUAAAAAAUACAAAAUGAGUUAGGAUACUUUAUUUAGAACCCACAUUUUAAUAAGGCUUCAUUUGAUGUAGUUUUUCAAACAGUGAUUAUUUGAGUAAAGUUUCCUCAAUAGAGUUUUUAUCAAAUAAAUUUUAUUUAUUUGGUUGUCGAUAAGAACUUUUAUUAAAAAUUAUAAAAUUAUUUAAAUAAACAUAUUUUUUAAAAUUACAUUAUAAAAAUAAUUAAAUAAAAUUAUAAAAGUAAAAUAUAUUUUAGAUAUUUUAAUAUUUAAGAAAAAAUUUUCAAUCUUUACUUUCAGAAGCUCAAAUUUUUAAUUUUUAGUUGUAGAGACAAAAUAUCUUAUUUAAUGUUUAAAAGUUCUGCUAAAAACAAUCAAAUAACUACAAAAAUUUUAAUAAGAGCAUAUAAAAUUAAAUAAGCAUUUAUUAAUAAUCACUUUAGUGUACUUAUCUAAUAACAAUAAGUGUUUAUUUAAUCUAAUAAGUUUUUAUUUAAUCUAAUGAGCUCUUUUUAAUUUUUUUUUAGUAGAGCUUUUGAAAAUUAAAUAAACUAUUUUGUCUCUAUUAAGAAAAACUUAAAAUUUAGGUUUUUGUAAGUAAAUGUUUAAAUUUUUUUUAAAAAUAUUAAAAUAUUAAAAUAUCUUUUCUUUAUUUCAUAAUCUUAUUUCAUUCUUCACAACAUAACUUUAAAUAACUUACCUAUUAAAAUAAUUUCACAAUUUCUAAUAAAAACUCCGAUUAACAAUCAAGCAAUAAUUUUUUUUUUUUUUUUGUAAAAAUUCUAUUUGUAAAAACUCUAAUAAUAAAAAUUCUACUUAAAUAAAUUUUAUUUGAAAAGGUAUACUAAACGAACCUAAGAUAAAAACAAAAAUUUUUAGAUCCAGACAAUUAAGCUUAAAACAAUUUCAAAUGAAUUUUAGACUAAUCAAAGUACAAUACGUACCAAGUUUGGUAAUUUAUUGACAUCUUCUUAUAUACCUUCGAUCAAGUCGAUUCUCACUUGACGACUAAUUGGUAGUUUGGUACAUCACCGUUGUUCCCUAUACUCGCAUGCAUCCGAUCACAAAUCUCACUCCAAUUGUUGUCUUUCUUCGGCGUUUUAGCGCAUCCUUCUUGAAUUUCUCGCAUUUCGUUCCCUUACAAGUCUCCGGUCAGGUCAGUUCACUUGACGAUUAAUUCGGCAAAUCUUGAAUCUCUUCUCUAUCCCUCUCGUUUUCUCGUGUCUCCUUUCAGUUAAAGCGAUUGAAUCAAUUUUAUCGCAGUCUAAGAGAAAUUAAGUAAUGCUCUUGGAUUUAAAAUUUUUUUGCUUUCGACUUUAGAUCUCGAAAGUCAAACUCUGCUACGAAUCCAUAGAUUCUCAAUGUUUAUAAUCUUAUUUGUGUUUGACCAGGUAACUGGAUCGUGAAAUUCGUCGUUUUGUAUCAAUUCAAGCUUUCGCGAGCUCAUGGAAUCACCUGGUGAGUUGUGGUGAAACGUUAUCGUUUCAAUUUUCGCUUAAUUCUUUAUUGCAUAUUUUUUUCUCUAAUAUUUCAGUUUAAUUAGAAAAGAAAGAGGACCCAAAAAGAGAGAGAGAGAGAGAGACUCUACCAUACUCAAUUCCUUGCUCAUUCUGAUUUGGCCUGAAUGUUGGCAUUGACUAUUAUUUGUUUUCAUUUCGAUUUAAUUCUCAUUUAGACAGUCUUUACUAACGGUCAAUAAUAGUUUAAGGAAAAUGAUAAUAGGGAUUCUGCAAUAAUCUUUCUGCAUUGUUCAAGUUAGUAGACAAUGAAUAGGAUGUUUACGUUUACCUCAUUUUGAACCCCGAGGGCUUAGUUGAGUAGUUGAUUGAUUCAAUCUUGCAAUGUGUUCCCACAAGGUUUUGAGUUUGAUUCCUAAUUAUGUGGACCUUAGUUUCGAAUUUGAGUUUGUUAGGUGGGUUGAUGGGGUUUUUGGGUAUUAAAAAGGGAGAAGAAAAAAGUUGCUUGCUUCAUUUUGUACAAACCUGUUGACUUUUUAUUUUUUUCUUUUUAUUUUUGUACUAUUUUGUUUUACAGUUGGUGGUUCAAGACAGACAUCUGUUAUUGUUGUAACUUUGGAUACUGGUGAAGUAUAUAUUGUAACCAGCUUGUAUUCUAGGACUGACACUCAAGUGAUAUAUAUUGAUCCAACUACUGGUGCACUUCGCUACCAUGGGAAAUGGGGCUAUGAUGUUUUUGGAUCUGAAAAUGAAGCAGUAGAUUACAUAACAAAUGGAUCACGAUGGAUGUGCAAGAGUACAACUUUUGCCAAGGCGAUAUUGGGUUAUACUGCCCUGGGAAGCUUUGGGCUGCUUCUUGUUGCCACAAGGUUAACUGCCAGCAUUCCAAAUCUUCCUGGUGGAGGAACUGUAUGCACGGUUACAGAGAGCCAAUGGAUCAAAAUUCCACUUCAAAAUCCUCAACCCCAGGGUAAAGGAGAAGUAAAGAAUGUUCAAGAGUUGCCUGAUCUUGACAUUGAUGGGAAGCACUACUUUUGUGAGACAAGAGAUAUCACUCGACCUUUCCCCAGCCGCAUGCCUUUGCAAAAUCCUGACGAGGAAUUUGUUUGGAAUGAAUGGCUUUCGAUGCCUUUUAAAAGCAUUGGUUUACCUCAGCAUUGUGUCAUUCUUCUGCAGGUUUUGCUUCAUACUCGGUAUCUUCAAAAUUUAUGCUCAUUAAACUUCUUUCAUUCCCCACCCUCUCACUAUCCCUCCACCUAAUUUUGUUUCCAAAAGUUUGUUUGAUAGUCUAUUGCCACUAUAUGUAAAUGUAUCAUUUCCAUUCUGAGCAUGAUAUUUUAUUCAUCAUCACUUGUUAUUCUAAUCUUUAGAUGAAAGAAUAUUUCGUAUUAACAUUUUUCAUGGGCCAGUACCUAUUUUAUGGUCCAUUGUAGAUACUAAAAUGACCAACUUUAUUUCUUGGUCAUAAAAAGUUGCGACAGAAAUUUUAAACAUGUGAAUAUUUAAAUCUGAUAAUUCAUUAAAGAUUUCAACCUAAUAGAUUGAAAACUUAGAUUCAUUCCAUGAAUGAAAGAUAAUAAAGCAUCAGCCGAUGGAAUAUGGGAAAUAGAAACACUUUCCCUUCUAUUAAGAAGAGCCUGCUUCAGAUGAUCCUCAUUUUCUUCAUCCACAGGCCAACCUAGAACAUACCACACCAAGGUAAGAAAGAAAAGGGGUAGCAGGAUUGCCUAGUUUGACAAUUAGCAAAGCCCCAAAUGUUCCUCUUUUACUUUUCUUUUAGAAAGGUAGACAUGUUUGACAGAUUUGGGACAUUGCAUCAUCCCUUUCUGCUGCACAUGGUUGCAAUGUUUUACUUCUCACGUGAAAGCCUAGAAAUCCCAAUCCAAUAAUAAAAGGCCAUUUUAGAGUCAAUGUACAAAAACUUCCUUCCUUGUCUCUAUAUCCUCUUUUACAAUCCAUUCUUAGUUGAAUUGAGAUUAUGCUACAGCUGCUUCUUCAAGUUAACAUUGUUAUGCAAUUCAAUGGUGAUUUACGUGUGUACUUGUCCUAAGCAUGUGAUUUGAAAAUAAUAUGUUAAUAUUGUUUUCACUGGAUAUUAAUGUAUAGGGAUUUGCAGAAUGUCGAAAUUUUGGAAGAUCAGGUCAGCUAGAAGGGGUUGUUGCUCUUAUAGCUCGUCGUAGUAGGCUGCAUCCUGGUACUCGAUACUUGGCUAGGGGGAUUAAUUCUUGUUUUAGUACAGGUAAGAUAAUCUUUAACAUCUCCAGACCUGGAAAUUACAUUUUUGUUGUUGAGAUUCACUUGGUUCUUCUAUACAAUCAAAAAAAUUAAGGAUUUAGUUUUUUUUUUUUUUAAACGGAAUUUUCUUUUCCUUUCAGUACUCUUUGCAUUCUGUGUAUGCUGUUUAUUCUGAUUGUCAUUGAUCUCAUGCCUUUACAAGGAAACAGGUAAUAGUUUCAGUGGUAAAUUCAAGUGGAAUUGGUUUUGAUUCUGUUGUUUAGAAAGAUGGAUUGUAGAACUACAGAACAUUAAUCGUGCCACCUCAUGGCUCAUGCAUGCUUUUGGAGUAUUCUUUACCUGUAGAAUUUUUGUUUUUGUAGUUGACUUGGAAUAUAACUUUACCAUUUUUUUCAAAUAAUAAGAAUCAAUGAGUCUCAUCAAUAUUAAUCAAUAAUGAGCUAAAGAUAUAUAACUUGUGUCUCAGAACUAUAUAUGAUAUGCUUGUGAAGGUGUAUUAUUUUAAGUAGAGAUACCAAAUGCUACAGGGAGAAGCAAAAAAGAACAUUCUCCAGUGAAAACCUUCUGACAGAUUACAUUUUUGGGAUAAAAAAGAAACAUUGAGAUCAUCAGCCACACUUUUUCUUCUUGUACUGUUUAAUUAGUUUAGAGGCCUUUUAGUUGGUUUUGCUUGCCUGGAGGUGUCAUACAGUUCACUUUUUGAAUACCCUGGUUUUCUACAGAUUAGAACUUGGUUUCCUUUCACUCCACAGCUUUUGCUUUCCUACAUCACGUCCUUUGGGAUAAUUGAAUAAUGAAUGAAUGAAAACAAUCAAAUAAUUUCUGACAAUUAGUUAAUAACUUUUAUUUUGUAUGACCCUUUUGAUAUGUGUGGUCCUUUAAUUUACGGUUGAAAUAUAAAUAUGAAAAAAGUCUGCCAAUUAGUUUUACAAAUGACUUUUGUGCCAUAGAAUAUAUAUAUUUUUUUUUUGCCGAAAAACAAAACAAAUUCAUAAACAACAUUGUAUUUCACCAAUUAACAGUGCAAGUGUCAUUAUAGUUUCCACAUAUUAGUUCUGUUUUCGUUAGUUUCAUUUUCAUUCUGUUAUGUAACUGAUGUUUCAUUGCUAUAAAAUUAAUUGUCUGUUUCUCUUCACAACUGUUAUUUUGAAUGAUUUUUUCUGAAUUUUAUAAACAAUUUGUAUAUGACAGGAAAUGAAGCAGAGUGCGAGCAACUUGUAUGGAUUCCUAAAAGGUCUGGUCAGAGUGUUCCUUUCAAUGCAUACAUCUGGCGGCGAGGGACUAUUCCAAUAUGGUGGGGUGCAGAAUUAAAGCUUACUGCUGCUGAAGCAGAAAUUUAUGUUGCAGAUCGGGAUCCUUAUAAAGGAAGUCUGAAGUAUUAUCAGAGGUUGAGUAAUCGAUAUGAUGCUCGAAACUUUGACUUAGCUGUUGGGGAAAAUCAGAAGAAAAAGCCUUUUAUUCCAAUUGUAUGCAUUAACUUGCUUAGGAAUGCGGAAGGGAAAUCAGAAUCUAUUUUAGUUCAGCAUUUUGAGGAAUCUUUGAACUAUGUCAGAUCAACUGGAAAACUUCCUUAUACUCGAAUUAUUUUAAUAAAUUAUGACUGGCAUGCCAGUACAAAAUUAAAAGGUGAACAACUUACAAUUGAAGGAUUAUGGAAGCAUCUAAAAGCACCCACUCAGGCCGUAGGCAUUUCUGAAGGGGACUAUUUGCCAUCACGGCAACGACUUAAUGAUUGCCGAGGUGAAGUCAUCUGCAAUGAUGACUUUGUGGGUGCCUUUUGCUUAAGAUCCCAUCAGAAUGGAGUGAUACGCUUUAACUGUGCAGACUCUCUUGAUCGGACCAAUGCUGCUAGUUAUUUUGGUGCUCUGCAAGUAUUUGUGGAGCAAUGUAGGCGGCUUGGGGUCUCCCUUGACAGUGAUUUUGCAUAUGGCUAUCAGUCAGCUAAUAACUAUGGUGGAUAUACUGCUCCUUUGCCACGAGGAUGGGAGAAACGAGCUGAUGCAGUGACAGGAAAAACAUAUUAUAUCGAUCACAACACUAGGACCACAACAUGGAUUCAUCCAUGCCCAGACAAACCUUGGAAGAGAUUUGAUAUGACAUUUGAGGAGUUCAAGCAUUCAACAAUUUUAUCACCAGUGUCUCAGCUAGCAGAUCUUUUUCUGCUUUCUGGUGAUAUCCAUGCAACCCUUUAUACUGGUUCAAAAGCAAUGCAUAGCCAAAUUCUUAAUAUAUUCAAUGAAGAACCAGGAAAGUUCAAACAAUUUUCUGCAGCACAAAAUAUGAAAAUUACCCUGCAGAGAAGAUACAAAAAUGCAGUUGUCGAUAGCUCUCGUCAGAAACAGCUGGAGAUGUUUCUUGGAUUGAGGCUUUUCAAGCAUCUUCCAUCUGUUUCAGUUCAACCUCUACAUGUAUGAUACUGUAGAACUUCAGAUUACCUAUUCAUACAAUCUGAGUUCAAUGAUUAUCAAUUUUCAUGAGGGAUGGAGACAAUAUUACACUAGCUACUUGUUUCUAACCUAAGCAUCCCUAACUUCUGCACAUAAAUAAAUGAUGCGCAAAGCAUACCAUAGCUAUAUCAAUGCCCAUUUCCUGUUUGAUGUUGACCAAUAAUGUUUGGAAGUUAGCUAUUGCAUGGUAAGAUGAUUUGAAGCUUCAUUUAAAGCUUCUAAGCCAGAGCUUCUAAGUCAUCUGGCUUAGAGAAUUUAAAUGUCCUCCAAAAGUCUGGAAUCACUGUUGCAUCUCAGCCUGAUUGAUAUUUGUUAUUGUUAACUUGGAAAUAUUUUGUUAAUCUUUCGGAUUGAACAACGUCGUGCUAUGAUCAUUAUUCAAGAAAUGACCUCAAGAACUUGUUGCAGUUGAGUGAUUUUUUGGUAAUGAUGAAAAUUAUUCAUGUUUAGGAACAGCUCUUUAGGGGAAAAGCAUAUAUGGGCUGGCUGGCCCUUUUUGGUGUAUUUGAUGAACCAUUUCAUAUCAUGCUGGUAACUGCAGGUUCUUUCUCGACCAUCUGGUUUCUUUCUCAAGCCAGUUCCCAACAUGUUCCCAAGUUCUGAUGGUGGAGCUAGUCUUCUAAGCUUCAAAAGAAAAGACAUGAUCUGGGUAUGGGUUGCAGCUAAACUUAGUCCUUUGUAGCAUUCCUAAUUCUCUGAUUGUCUUUUCUUUGUAGCAUUCUUAAUUCUCUGAUUGUCUUUUCUGUCCUUAAUGGAAUUCAUGCAUUUUUGGUUCUUUAGGUAUGUCCACAAGGCACAGAUGUGGUUGAACUUUUCAUCUACCUUGGUGAACCUUGUCAUGUCUGUCAGCUUCUUCUCACCAUAUCCCAUGGUGCAGAUGAUUCAACAUAUCCAGCAACAGUUGAUGUGAGAACAGGACGCCACUUAGAUGGGCUUAAACUGAUUUUGGAGGUUUGUAUUGGUUCUAUUGUACACCUUGCUUACAAAUUUUUUAUUUUUAAUUUUUAAUUUUGUAUGAUAUGCUCUUUGUUGGUAAAUUUCAUUUGACUUAGAAGAGAUAGUUUUAUCCCAACAGUGGGAUACAUCAUUGAGAUGCAUGGCAGAGUGAAUAUAGUAGACAAAAUCAUUGAGACCCAUGGUGGUGUGAACAUAGUAAACUUUGUCAAACACAGCUAAGAUGAGCAAAUUGUUUCAUUAGCCUUUAUCUUAUCUGCUGUGAUGAUUCAAAUUAAUGCUGUUUGGUAGGUUGCAAAAAAACGAAAUGAGCUGACUGUUCGUAUUAUUUAGUCAGAUCUCUAGCAAUAAGUUGAAGUUCAUUGUCACAUGGGUUGGGAGUAUCGUGGGCUGUGAGUAGUAGAAUGGAUUUAUGGAGUUGAUACAAGUGCCCACAAUCUCUCAUGUCAUUCUAGGAUUAAAUGGAUUGCACAUUACUGUAAAAAUGGAGGUUAAAUUUAUAUAAUUCGGAUUGAUUGUAAAAUGGAAGACAGAGAUGAGUUAGAAAAAGAAUGACCCGUGUCCUUUUUGAGCUGUUUCUAAAUGUCCCUGGUGUGCCUCAUGCUUAACACGUGCCUUUCCAAAUAAUUUUGCUUAACCUGUGCUUGUCUACUUCUUGUGCUAUUCUGUGCCUGGUCCUGAGCUGUAUUCCAAAUAAUUUUGCUUAACCUGUGCUGUGUGCCUCAUGCUUAACACGUGCCUUUCCAAAUAAUUUUGCUUAACCUGUGCUUGUCUACUUCUUGUGCUAUUCUGUGCCUGGUCCUGAGCUGUAUUGGUAGAUUGACAUCCAGCUUGAACUUUUAGGUAUAUCUUUUGUACAUAAAUUCUGAAUACCCAUGGACUUAGCGUGAUAUAAAGUCAAGGAUCCAUUUAGCUGAGUCCUUCAAGUUUUGUUAGUAUGUCUUCGGAUUAUAAAUAUGUAACAAAAUGAGGUGUAGAAUACAUUUAAAAAGAAAAGGAUAAAAAAACAAAAGAAAUGAAAAGAGGUGUUUAGAAGUAAUAGCUAAACUAGAUACACUCUCACUAAUUAGCGAUUCUGAUGAACAGUGCCCAUAGCUUCUUUUAUACCUUGAAGUUGCAGAAAUUGAUUCUUGGUGAAUUAAGUCACUUACAGACAUAACUUUUUCUUCCAUCUAAUUUUUAUUAGGUUAGAUAGGAGAAGACUUGUUUCAGGGUGUCCUGACCCUAGUAUUAGUUUUCUUGUCAGAUUUUUCAUGAAAAUUUACAAUGCACGUGACAUACAACUUCUAGUAAUCCUAGGACUUUGUUCACAGGGUGCUUCUAUUCCUCGUUGUGGAAAUGGGACAAACCUUUUGAUACCUUUACCAGGAUCAGUUAGUGCUGAGGAUAUGGCUAUUACUGGAGCUGGUGCACGACUUCAUGAUCAAGAUGCACCAACCCUUCCACUGUUGUAUGAUUUUGAAGAAUUAGAGGGAGAAUUGGAUUUUCUUACUCGUUUUGUGGCAGUUACCUUUUAUCCUGCUAUUUCUGGAACAAGNNNNNNNNNNNNNNNNNNNNNNNNNNNNNNNNNNNNNNNNNNNNNNNNNNNNNNNNNNNNNNNNNNNNNNNNNNNNNNNNNNNNNNNNNNNNNNNNNNNNNNNNNNNNNNNNNNNNNNNNNNNNNNNNNNNNNNNNNNNNNNNNNNNNNNNNNNNNNNNNNNNNNNNNNNNNNNNNNNNNNNNNNNNNNNNNNNNNNNNNNNNNNNNNNNNNNNNNNNNNNNNNNNNNNNNNNNNNNNNNNNNNNNNNNNNNNNNNNNNNNNNNNNNNNNNNNNNNNNNNNNNNNNNNNNNNNNNNNNNNNNNNNNNNNNNNNNNNNNNNNNNNNNNNNNNNNNNNNNNNNNNNNNNNNNNNNNNNNNNNNNNNNNNNNNNNNNNNNNNNNNNGAAGAUCAUGGUGUGGAAACUUAUAAAAGAUCUUCAACACAGGAUGGCUGUUCUCUGGCUAGUGGUGCCCAGCAGUACAUAAGCUGUCUAAAAUCCCUUGCAGGGCCACGCGAGGUAUAGUACUGCUCUCUUGUGUUUUUUGCAGCUCUACAUCUUAGUAACCUCAUCUUUUUAAUGGAGUAAAUUCUAGAAGUUCAACAAAUUUUGCUUUGCUAAAUGUAUAACUUAUUAAUCAGAGUCCUGUUAUUAUGGUUUGACACUACUGACAUAUUGUGUUGGUAAUUUAUUUGUACGUCCCUUGGUUGAAUUAUUUGCUGUCUCCAUGCCAUUCGAUAUGGUGCUACUUGGUUUUUGAUCAUCCAUGACACUAUAUAUAUAUAUAUGUAAAGGAUGAAUUGAUUGUUUUGGCUUGUAUUCUCACAUUUUAUGAUUGAUCGAUGGAAAGGUCUUCCUGUAUUAAAUUCAACCUCACAAGCAUAAGAUUGACAAAUUCUGGGCAAAUUUUCAGGAAAAGAAACUAGACUUCAUGGAAGCAAUGAAGCUUGAAAUUGAACGUCUGCAGCUGAAUCUUUCUGCAGCUGAAAGGGAUAGAGCUUUAUUGUCAAUUGGAACUGAUCCUGCCUCUAUAAAUCCAAAUGUAUUGCUUGAUGAAUCUUACAUGGGAAGACUGUGUCGAGUAGCAAACACUCUUGCAUUACUUGGCCAAGCUUCCCUAGAAGACAAAAUUGUUGGUGCAAUUGGCCUUGAGAAUAGUGAUGAUAGUGUUUUAGACUUCUGGAAUAUUACUAGAAUCGGAGAGAGUUGUUCUGGUGGUGGGUGCGAGGUUCGUGCCGAAACUAAGGUGCCUGCUCUUGCUUCCUCAACUGCAACAUCUGUUGGAUCUUCACAAUCCCCUUUGUUGUGUUCUCAAUGUGAAAGAAAAGUUUGCAAAGUUUGUUGUGCAGGAAGAGGAGCUCUACUGUUUUCAAAUUAUAAAUCAAGGGAUGUGACCAACUACAAUGGCUUCUCAAGUCAGAGUGGAUCAAGCCAUGGAAGCCAAGUUGAUGUAGCUACCAGUCGUUCACUAACACUGGAUGGCGUUAUCUGUAAACACUGCUGCCAUGAGAUUGUGCUUGAUGCAUUGAUGUUGGACUAUGUUAGGGUCUUGAUUAGCUUGCGAAGAAGUUCCCGUGCAGACAACGCAGCAUACAAUGCUUUGAAUGAGGUUGUUGGAUCCUGCUUAAAGGAUAGUCUUUCUGAAAGGAUUCAGUCUUCCGAUAACGUGCAAGCUGCUGAAGUCCUUCACCAAUUAUGUGGUGGACAGGAAUCUCUUGCUGAAUUUCCAUUUGCUAGCGUUUUGCACUCGGUAUGUUCUUGGUUUGUAUUCAGUUCUCAUCAUGUUAUGUUUUCCUUUUAAAUUUCUUUUCUUGAUUAAAAUUUUUAGAAAUAUGUUUUAGUAUUUGUUCUUAUGAUAUAUGCCCAGAACAUUCAUCCCACUUAUCCAUGAGAAUCCUUGUCUGGUUUGAUUUUCAAUUGAGACAUUUUUGGGAACCCUGCGCAGGUUCCAUAUGCUAAUAAUCUUUGAGGUAAGGUGUUGUAGGAUGCCUUGAGAAGCUAAAAACCCAUUACAAGGAAAAGGUCUUGCAUUGUUUUGUGCAAUCUGUGUGCGAGCUAGUCAUGUCUCUAAUAAUUUCAUAGUUUGCUUGAUUGGAAUUUUUUAUCUUGAUAUGGAUUGUUUAUUCUAGAUUCCUUGGUGCCACUGUAGGUUGAAACAGCAAAAGAUUCAGCACCGAUUUUGUCACUGCUUGCUCCAUUAAAUUCUGGAUCAAGGCACUCAUAUUGGAGAGCUCCACCUAGUACUACUUCUGUUGAAUUUGUUAUUGUUCUCGGUUCUGUUUCUGAUGUCAGUGGGGUUAUCUUGCUUGUUAGUCCUUGCGGCUAUUCUGUGGCUGACACUCCGAUGGUAAGUGCCAUAUUUAUUCCCUUAUUUCCUUGUUGUUCAAUAAAUUUGGUGAUAAGCCAAGUGGCCUUAAUAAUGAAGCCCAGUACCAGGGGUGGUGGGUAAUAGAUAUUCAACUUGUGAAUAUUCCUAAGCAAACACUGAAUCAACAUAUACCUCGGCAAAAGUUCUCUAUGCUAUGAUAAUGGAAGUCAUAUUUUGAAAUGAUUAAAAGAGUCCCUGUGUAGUGCCAUUUCCAACGAAAUUGCAGCUGGGGGUUUAGUUUCAUGUAGGUUAGUUUCCGAUAAUAAACUUUCCAUUUCAUUAAUUGCUGAUGAAAAAACCAAGUAAGAACAGUUUUGUUGCUCGUCAUUUUUGUAUAUUUUGGUAAACUGUAAUUUUAAAUUCUCAACGAUCUUCCCUUUGUAGGUAAGAAGAUGGUCCACUCACUUGAUAUUUAUGAUUGUAGAUCAGGUUUCUAUUGGUUUGCCUUUAUCAUUCGGAACCCAAGUUUGAUAUUAACAGAGAUCACGUCAAUAAUAUCCUAUUUGGGUAGAUGUGGGUGAGGAUUUAAAAUCAAAUUUGAAAUUGAGGGCAAAGAAGAGAAAAGAAACCGCAAUAAUUAAACAAAAUAUUAGGAACUAUUCUGAUGAGUUUUAAUCUCGAGAGGAACAAUUUUCAAAUGCAAAAUUUAACUGCUAGAGAAAUUGUAGCUUUUUGUCAUUAGUUAAGAGGAAAGAGAAUAAGAACUAUCUGGCCCUUUCCUUCAUGAAUGUGUGUUGAGGUUGCUGUAUUAUUUAGUCAGUAUUUGUAAUUUUCUUCCCUGCAGUGCUCUCUGCCUCCUGAAUUUGCUACUGAGUCCAUAUUUUUCUUUGAGCUGUUGCUUCCUAUUGCUGUUACAGGUACAAAUCUGGGCAAGCAAUAAGAUACACCGGGAGGACAGGUCAUCAAUGGGAAAAUGGGAUGUCCAAUCCCUCAUCACAUCUUCUUCAGACUUGUAUGGUCCAGAAAAGACAGCUAGUGUUGAAAAAUUACCUAGGCAUGUAAAAUUUACUUUUAAGAAUCCUGUUAGGUGCCGCAUUGUUUGGAUCACAUUACGUCUUCAGAGACCUGGUUCGGCUUCAGUUAAUUUCGGGAAUGACUUCAGUCUUUUGUCUCUUGAUGAAGAUGAAAACCCCUUUGCACAAGUAGACAGACGUGCUUCAUUUGGAGGAGCAGUUGAAAAUGAACCAUGUAUUCAUGCCAAAAGAAUUCUUGUAGUCGGAAGCCCAGUAAAAAGGGAGGGGCUUACCUCAUCACAGAGCUCUGAGCAGCUAAGUAUUAGAAACUGGUUGGAUAGAGCUCCACAAAUGAGUAGAUUCAAGGUAUUAGUUGCUUUCACUCUUUGUUCAUUCAUAAUUCCAGCUUUCUGCUUGAUGCCCUGCCUCUGAUAAACCUCUUUUUUUCUCUUCAGGUCCCAAUUGAGGCCAAGAGAUUGAUGGACUACGAUCUCGUCUUGGAACAAUAUCUACCUCCAGCGUCACCUUUGCUUGCCGGAUUCCAUCUAGACGCUUUCAGUGCAAUAAAACCUAGGGUUACCCAUUCACCUUCCUCAGAUUCAGAUAUCUGGGACAAAUCAGUAACAUUUUUAGAAGACAGGUACAUCUCUCAAGCUGUGUUGUAUUUACAAGUAUCCGCACUCCAGGAACCACAUAACAUGGUAACUAUUGCGGAAUAUCGACUGCCGGAGGCUAGAGCCGGAACGCCAAUGUACUUUGAUUUCCCACGACCGAUACAGUCCCGACGAGUUUCAUUCAAGCUUCUUGGAGAUGUUACAGCAUUUGCAGAUGAACCUUCAGAACAAGAUGAUUCAGGAUUGAGAGCUCUACUUGUGGCCACAGGUUUGUCUUUGUCAAACAGAAUCAAGUUAUAUUAUUAUUGUGAUCCUUAUGAGCUCGGAAAAUGGGCAAGCCUUUCUGGAGUUUGAUCAUUAUUUAUAUGUCAGAGAAAGAGUUUUGGGUUUGAUUUUGAUUUUGAUUUGCAUUUUUUGUCAGUUUAUUGAAAUUUUUUCGUGGUAUAAAAUCAGAAUGUAAAGGUAUAAAAAUUCAUUGAUGCUGCAAUGUCUGCUUUUGAGAAAGAAGAAUUCAACGUCUUUUCUAUGCCAUUGUAUUUUCCACUGCUUGUAAACUUGGGCUGUCGAAUGCUCUGUGAACCUUAAGGGCUAAAGUAAUUUUCAAGACUGAAGGAUUUAUUAAUCGAGUUCAAAAGAUUGCAAGUUGGUGAGCGUUGGCAUUUAAAAAUCAAUUGUUAUUCUCUCAAUAAUCUCUCUCUUCUGCCGACACCCCAAGCUCAGAAACCCGUUGUUCCGACGGACGUGUAACACUUCUAGAAAUUAGCAUUUUCUUCUACAUGAAGGUUGGUCUCUCCUCGUGAAGUGUUUUCUUUUUUGAGUGAAGGUGGUUUUCUACUUACAUAUGUCGAGGGUCUUACGAUAUCUAAUGUGUGAAAUUUCUCUCUCAUUUUACCAUAAAGAAAAUGUUUGUAAUGAUCUGAAGCUUGAGUCUUAAAUUAUCUUAAAUUUAUAUUUAGGGUGGAGCUAUUGGCAUCCCUACAUUAUUCUUACAAAAUUCCACUUUAAAUAAAAUUACAAUUAAGAACAAUUAAAAAUUAAACACUUAUAAUUUUUUGUACAGCAAAUUACUUAAUUUAUAAUCAAUUCUUUUAAAAUAUAUAUAUAUAUUUGUUACUUCUUAUCUAACUAAAAUAAAUUGUACAAAUUUAGAAUAAUCUAUUGUUCUUUUUUGAUUUCUUAUUGAUUUAAUAUUUUUAUACUUAAAAUUACUUUGAAAUUAUAAUUUGAAAUAUGUGUUAUUUUAGCCAAUAAUUAACACUUAAAAACUUAUCACCCAUAUAACUUUUUAAUUUGUGUGUAGGGUAAUAAUAAAAUUGAAAAUAAUUAAAAAUAGCACAAUAAUGAGUUUUAACAAUAAAACAAAUCAAAUGAAUAUUUAAAAUUUUAAAAAGUAUAUCUAGAAAAAGAGGUAUUUUCGGAAAUAGUUUGCAUAUAACUAAAAAAAAGUUUUAUGAGGAGAUCAGAUGGGUGCCAAUAGUCCACCUCGUAAUUAAGAAUCUCCCAUUAUAUUGUGAACCAAAAAGACACUUGCAUAAGAAGAAGAAUUUUUCUGUUUGAUUUUAUUUGUGGAUCCAACAUUUCUCAUAUCUUGAGCGCCUUUCCGUAUCAAAUUAAAAUAGUAGUAGCAAAAUUGUAGUGCACAUUCAAUUAAUCAACUAAUAGUCUAAGAAGCAAAGAGAGGAUUACAAGUUCACAACACCAUUACAAAGGAUUCAAAAUUCCCACACGAAAACAUCAAUGUACAGAUAUAAACAAUCCUAAUUGGACACAAGAAAAACCCUUAAAUGGAUUGCUUGCCUUCCCAAUGCUACAUACCCUGCAAACUGCUUACUGGCCAAGAAAAUGUUUUCAAUUUAGUGUAUUUUCAAAAUGCUUAUUUUCUCAUAAUAUUAAAAAAAUAAAAUAAAAAAGAAUUCUUACAUGUUUCAUCAGCAUGAUUAAAAUCAAAGAAGAAAGAGAGACAUAAUGUCUCUGACAUAAUAAAAUUAUAAAAAUUUCAAGAAAAAAAAAGGUUAAAACAUGUAAGGUGGAUGAUUGAAAACAAUUGUAUGAUGGUAACCAUCAUCUUAAACAAAUAAAAUAAGGUAUGUUCAAAAGUAAUAAGGAAUACAUAGACAAAACAUCAUCUUAAACAAAUCAUAAUCUAGAAUUGGAGCAUUUUCGACAUACCUAAGGAGAAAGAAUACGUGAAAAUAGGUGAUUCAUUUGUUAAGGAGUGUUGAUUUGGUCGUCUCUGCAAAUUCUUUAGGGACUCGGUUCCAGUUCCUCUUCAUCAAAACUGUAAUAUAAUUCCCCUUCAUCAGAACUCGAAUCAAAUUCACUUGCAGCAGUUCCACUCGCGCUU